UUAAAAAAUGAACCAAAUUUUAAAAUUUGAUAUUUAAAUUUAAAAUCAAAAUUUAUAUUUUAAAAUCUAAAAAAAAUUAAUUUAAUCUAAAUAUGAAAUUUGAAUAUGACUUCAAAUUUCAAAUUUCAAAUUUUAGGUUUUAAUUUUAAAAUUUCAAUUAAAAUCUUUAAUUGAAAAUUUUAAUUUUGAUUUUAAAUUUAAAUUCUGAUAUGUAGCACGUCUUUCGUGAUCCAAUACUAGUCACAGAAAAUACAAGCUAAGCAGCUAGUGGAUAAAACUUCAGUAAAAAAUUCUCCAGCAAUGUCUUAUUAGAGAGCUUUUGAUCUGUUGUUACGUAUUAAUUUUGUUUUAUUCAAUAAUUCGUUUGGUAGUUUUAAUAUUAAAAUUCAAAAAAAAUUUAAAGUCUUAAAAAAAAAUAAUUCUUGAAUAAAGAUAAGGGCGGCAUAUAGCAAUGAAUUGAGGCUUCUUGACGAGACGUUGUAAUAUUUUCUACAGCUAGUGGUAGUACUUCCAUUUUUUUUUUUUUAUAAUUUCAAAACUUAAUCGCGGAUAUAUUUUUUGAUGAUGCAAUGGAUCAAGAGCCUGAUUUCUCUAUCUUAUCUUAAUCCAACUGCUCAGCCUCGCAAUUAAUUACCUCAUACAUUGAAAUAAAUAAUCUAAUAAAUGGUUUUGGAUAACGCUAAUAAAUAUAUGGAGAGAAAUUAAGAUGUGAAAUUAUAAGAUAAGGUUUUUUUAUUUUCUAAAACAUAAAUUUUGUAUGAUUGGAUACGCCAAUAAAUAAAAUUAAUGUACUGUGACGGGUGACAAAUGAAAGCUUAAAAAAAGGAAAAAAAAAUUACAUUGAAAAUUUUAUAUCUUGUUACCAAAUAAAUAUGUAAUUUGGAAGCAAGAAUUGUAAUCAACCUGCCAUCCAUUUUUAUUUUUUUAUAUAAAAAUAUUAUUCAAUUGAAGUAUGACAAUAAUCUCAAACAAUGCCAUAAAAUUUUAUUUAAACAAGUAGUAGUAGCUAGUACUGAGCAUAAUUAUUUAAAAUUAUAUAAAAUAAUCACUUAUCUCUAAUCGAGUAAAAGUUUUUAGAAAACAACAUUUUGACAUUUUUAAUAUUUAUAUUAAUAUUUUUUUUUCUCACGUCUGAGUUGAAGAUAUUGAUAGACCAAAGACACAAGCUUGAAUCAAAUAAAAAAAGUAAAUAAAUAAUGUUAGUAGCAUGAUGGAUUGAACUUUUCAUAUUAAAUCGUAUGAAACAAUAGUUUAUCUUCAAUAAUUUAAAGUAAUAUUUUUAAUAUUUAUAUUCAACUAAUUAAAUGCGAGGGACAAAGCUACUUCCCAUAUUUGCUUGGAACUCUAAUUUAGAUUAAACUUCUAUAUAUUAUUUCUAAACCUGUGCUCUGGUUAUAAUAAUACACCUUUAAACAAUGGAUACAGAAAAUUUAUACCAUUGAAUAGUCAAUAUGAAAAAUGUGAACUCAAAAUCUCUUUGAAAUUGAGAGGGCUUAGGAUCAGCUCUAAUACCAUAUUAUUAAUCAAAAGAUUAUUUUAAUAAAAUUUUAUUGUGAAAUUAAUAAUCUUCGCAUUUCUACUUGAGAAAAAUUUACUAGAAAUAAUUUUUUUUUAAGAGAGAUAGGUAGUACACUACCCGCUUCGUUUAUUCCAUUUAGAAAUAAACUUAGCUGGAAAUAUGAAUCAACUAGGAUUCGAACUUGGAUCUCGGAUACUACUCAGACAAUCACAUUACGACAAAUAACACAUCAUGUUACAGUAGUCCCAAACAAAUCUUCAACUUGAUAUCUCGACAGGUGGCCACCAUAAUGUUAACUUUUAGUUACUAAAAAUUUCAAAAUACAAAGAAAGAAAGAAAAAGACAUAUUACACCUUAUAUAAUAGAUGUACACACCUUACACUUUACUGAUCUCAGAAUUUAUAACUUAUUUUUGGCCUGUAGUACUCCAGAAGGGUGAUUUGAUAAGUGAAUAAAUAAUAUUCUUUGGAUGAGUAGAGCGUAAAAUUUAUAUUCUUAUAAAUGAGUGCACAGAUUGUAUUUUUUAAAUUUUAAAAUAGGAGAAGGAAAAAUAGAUAAGAGUGAGGAGAUGAGGAGAGAAAGGACAAAUUAAUGAUAAGGGAGAGAUAUUGUGGUUUGGAUAAUUGGACCAUCCUAGGCUGAGAGCCUGAGACCCACCCCACCCUCAAAAAAAAAAAACAGAGGUGGGGAAUAAAGCAGCGACCAAAUUACAGUAAAGGAAAAUUUUCAAAUAUCACUUUUGUGGUAUCACAUUUUUUACUUUAUUAUUUUGUGAUUUAAAGUGUAUUAAUUUAGUACCUUAUAAUUUUAUUUUUAAUUUUUUAUUAUCGAUUUCACUAAUUUUUUUCGUUAAAUCAGUAACAAAGUUAAAAUUAAAGAGUACUAAAGUGAAUAUUCGAUAAACCUAAGUGGGUGUCUGAAGCUUUUUGUAUAUAAUUUAACAAAAUAUUAACAAAAAAGCUGACAAAAAAUAAAAAUGAAAUCAUAGGGCAUUAACUUGAUACACUUUAAACCACAUGGCACUAAAGUGAGAAAGUGCGAAACAACAGGAGUAGUAUUUGAAGUUUAUUCUAAAACAAAAAAUAAAGCGAAGCAAAACAGAAGCGGAGUUAAAAAGUAAAAAAUAAUAAUUAAUAAAAUAAAAAAAGCUAAUUCACAUAAAAAAAUUAUAUUUUUUGAUUUUAUAAAUUCGGUCCGAAUUUGUAGUAAACUGUCCAAAAUAUCCUUACAUCUUUUCUCGGCCCCUCCCACUACUGUAUUUAUACAUCCCACCAUUGCCUACUCCCCUUCACCCACCAGAGAAAGCCCAGCCCUUAUCCAUCCCCACAUAUCAAUUUUACCUCUAUCACAUCAUCCACCUCUCCAACCCCCCCCCCCCAAAAAGAAAAAACAAAACACAAAAGCCCCAGCCUCAAUUAUAAGCCCAUCAUAAUUCCCUCAAUCCGAUCCGACCCGAUCCGCGGGCCGCGGCGAUGGGCGGCAGCAGCAAAACCGUCGUCGGCGGCGUCAGCGGCAGCGGCGGCGGCGGCGGCGCCGGCCCGAGCGGAGGGAAGCUGCUGGAGAUUUUGAACGUCCGAGUCGUCGGCUCCGGCGAUCGGAUCGUGGUGUUCUCCCACGGCUUCGGCACCGACCAGUCGGCGUGGAACCGGGUGCUGCCCUACUUCCAGCGCGACUACCGCGUCGUCCUCUACGACCUCAUCUGCGCCGGCAGCGUCAACCCGGACCACUUCGACUUCGGCCGGUACAAGGGCCUCGACGCCUACGUCGAUGACCUCCUCGCCAUCCUCGACGCCCUCCGCAUCGACCGCUGCUUCUUCGUCGGUCACUCCGUCUCCGCCAUGAUCGGCGUCCACGCCGCCAUACGCCGCCCCGACCUCUUCCUCAAGCUUGUCCUCAUCGGCGCCUCCCCCAGGUUUAUUCGUCCCCCCCAAUCUCCCGCGGAAAAUAAGAAAGUCUGAAAUUUCUACUUUUCGGCACGGAAUUAAAUGAUGAUUUUCCAAAGCUGACUAUUUUUUAUUGUACCAAAAAGCAAUCAUGUCUCGUCCAUCAUAUCAGAUAGAUAGAUUAUAAAGAAAAGUUUGUUUUUUUUUUUACAAAAAAAAAAUUUUGAUUUAAAAGCGGGGCCAUACAGAUACUAAUUUUAAUAAUUGAUGCGUGGUUGUGAAGGUUCUUGAACGACCGGGACUACCACGGGGGGUUCGAGAGGGGGGAGAUCGAGCGGGUGUUCGCGGCGAUGGAGGCGAACUACAAGGCGUGGGUGAUGGGGUUCGCGCCGCUGGCGGUGGGGGCGGAUGUGCCGGCGGCGGUGCGGGAGUUCAGCCGGACGCUGUUCAACAUGCGGCCCGACAUCUCGCUGUUUGUCUGCCGGACGGUGUUCAACAGCGACCUGCGCCCCGUGCUCGGCCACGUCCGCACCCCCUGCGUCAUCGUGCAGACGGCCAAGGACGUGUCCGUGCCGCUGUCCGUCGCCGCGUACCUCAAGGACCACCUCGGCGGCCGCACCACCGUCGAGCUCCUCCCCAUCGAGGGCCACCUCCCCCACCUCAGCGCCCCCGCCAUCCUCGCCCAGGUUAUCCGCCGUUCCCUUGCCCGCUGACCACACCGCCCCGGUGGGCGGUAAUCGUCAUCGUCGUCGUCAUCGUUGUUGUUUUUCAGAAAAUAAUCUUAUGAGUGGCACUCACUCUUUUUGUUUCCGUAAAAGAUUCGAGCCAGUAGAGUGAUCAACAGCAGAUGCGAUCCCAUAUAUAAAUAUAUAUAUAUACAUAUUUUUUUCGAGAAACUUUUUAAUGUUCUCUUCUGUAUCUUCUGUAUCUUCUGUAUUUUAUAAUACUUUUGUUUUCGCAUUCUAUAGUUUAAAAAUUAUAUAUACUUUGCUAUGUUAUAGUCUAAUUUUUGUUUUACCAUAAAAACUUAUCAUUAAAGGGAAUAAUAAUAAUAAUAAUAAUAUAGUAUGUUUUAUAAACUACAAAAUAAUGGAGACAUAGUAUGUUACUACAAUUUCUACUUUGCUUAAUGGUAAGAUUUUAUAAUAAAAUAAAAAUAAAAUUAUGAAGUAUUAAUUUAUAAUUUUUUUAAAUUAUACGGCGAUGUUAAAAAUGGAGGUUUCACUGAUGACACGUGGAUAAUAAGGUGUGGACUUGUGCUUUUUCUUUGUUUUUAAAAAAAACCUUCAUACUUUUUUUUGUUUUUUAAUUUUUAGUAUUUCAUAAUUUUAAUUAUAAUUUAAGUAUUUUUAUAGUUUUUAUCUUUGUUUUUCAUUUGUUACAUCAGAUCCUUACAUGUGUUGAAGAUAUUCUACGAAAAUAGAUAAAAAAAAUAUGUGACCUUCUAAAACUGAUAACUGCAGCAUAUGAUUGAUUCGACUAAAAAAAUUAAUAAAAGAUAUAAUGAAAAAAAAAAUUAUUUAAUAUUUUUAUAAUACAGUUAAAAUUAUAUAGUAUUAAAAUAAAAAGACGGUAAAACACGUAGGAAUAUGUGAAGUUUAUUUGUAAUUUUUCUCAUCAGGAAAAAGUAUUUUUAUCACCACGUGGAGGUCACGUGAAAAUCCGCUCCGGGUUGCUUUUUCUUUUUCUGCGGAUAAGAUGGGAUUGGAUGUAAAUUUGAGGGUUUUUUUUUUUUAAAUCAUGAUAGUUUUUUUUUAAAUUUUUUUGUGAAUUUUAUGCUAGCUAUGCGCAAAAAGUACUUUAAUAUUCUUUGCUUCAGUUUCUUAUUUAAUAUACACAAUUUAAGAUAAAACUGUAAAAAUAUUCUCAUGACAUAUUAUAUUAUAUAAGGACAAAUAUAUAUCCUGAUGACAUACUAAAGCUGCUAUUUUAGGUAGGUAUUCUUAUAUUAGCUUUUUUUUUCUAAAGUCAAAAAAAAACUCCAACAGUUUCUUUCUCCAAAUGUUAAGUGCCUUGUACUUCUUGAUUAAUUAUAAAGUUUUCUUUUUCUAACCACUAUUACGAAAAAGCAUUAAGUACUUUACAUUCAAUAUCCCUUAAACCAUAAAAUGUCAGUUAAACGCCUAACUUUUACUUCUUUAAUUCAGAUGCUAGAAUUAGUCUUGAAAUCGAACCACUUUAAUUAGCUUAAAAAGUUUGUACAUUUUUUUGAAAUAAAACAAAUUAUUAUUUCAUAAGAAAAGCAUACUUACUAUUCUGUUGAAUAACGACUGAUGAGAUACUUUAGAAAACUACAAUCAAGCUCAUAACACGUAACGAAAGCAAACAAAAAUAUCCAUACCGUAGAAAUCGUCGUCGCUGAAUAGCUUAUUCUGAAGUUCAUAGAAAGCAAGAUUGAUGAUCAAAGAAAAAAGAUGCUUUUCGAUGAGAUAUGGGAAGAGAAAGAAAAGAUUUGGUGCUUAUGAUAGAAGGUUCUGUGAUGUGGAGGCCAUGGUGGUGAGGAAUCUAGGUUUUGGGGAUUAGUAUGGACCCAUGGGGGAGGAGGACAAAAUUGAAUGGAAGCCUUAUCCUUUUGAUUGGGAGCCACUGGGUCCUAUGUUUCCUUUUCACAACACAGUUGCCCCAUUGUCCCCUUCCGAUCGAUGCUCCAUCCUCGCUCUUCCGCAUUUACCGGUUGCAGACAGGGCACUCGCCUCUGGCUUUACUGUAGGGUGUAGUACUGAUUUAACUAUUGAAUACAGUAUUAACUGUAUGAUACAGUGCUAUUCAAUGAAGUAUCGACUCGUCAGCUGCCGGUGGGGUAUACACUCGCCUUUGACCUGACUGUAAAAAUAAUUCAUCUGCGAAAGUCAAUUGCUGGAUGGGAAUAGGGUACACUCCUUUGGCCUAUAUAAUUUUGUUAGAUGAAAUGUUGUUUAAGUAGUACAUUUACUAGCUAUAGGAGUAUUGAGUAGGUGUUUCUAUAUUUUUGCGUCUCAAAAUUUUGUUUCUGAUUUUUUUUUUUUUGCUACAGUAAAAUGGUCAAAUUUUUUUAUUUACCGAAUACUCUGUUGAAAAUGACAUUUGUUGAAAAUGAAAGCGACAGCCGGAGAAAAGAGACAUAUGAUGUAAGGUUUUUUUAUUAUUAUUUUUCAAUCUACAAAUGCAGAAGAAUUACGCUGAAAUGACCACUCUUUUAAUAAUUUUCGUAUGUUGUGUAGUUUCUUUUCAUUGAAGAGAGUAGAAUUGUUAAGCAUAUGUCUUGAAAAUUUUAAGUUUGACAUGCAUUGCUACAAACAAAAUUUCAAAAUUUCAACAGAGAGCUCUCGAAUACCCCCCAAACACGGGGAGGGCUCCUUUAGGUUCGCCUUUCAGUGUUUUGUAUAGAUUGUCGGUAUUAGCUUUGCUUCAAUAAAAAAAAAAGAAAAAAAAGUUCUAAAGGAUAGAGGGAAGGAUUAUAACUUUUUGUAUAGAGACAGAAUUGAUACAUAAUAGUGAAUAAGAAGCUUUUCAAGGAGGUAUCAUUGGGGAUCUCGCAAUUAGCCAUUCUAAAUUUGACAAGCUUUUGAAAAAGGUUAAAGGGAUUAAUAAGUUUCCCAAUUAACAUAUGAUCGACAUAUCGGUUAAAGUGGGAGAGCGUCUUUUAUAAUUUGGCAAAAUAGUUCUCCAAUAUAACCUACUCUCAAAAAAAAAAAAAAGAAAAAAAGAAACUCCAAUGUAACCUUGUACAUAAACCAAAUCAUCAUAGCAGUAGUGCUAAAGUACCUUGGUUAGUUGCUUACUACUGUGAGUUCAAUCUUAAGUUGCCCUCCAAAUGGUGAUAUUAUUUCAUCUCCUGCAGCCUAUGUAUAAAUCAGGGUCCCUAGAACUUCUUUUUUUUUUUUUUUGAGAGAGAUAGGUAGCACGCUACCCGCUUUGUUUAUUUUAUUUAGAAAUAAACUUAUCUGGAAAUGUGAAUCAACUAGGAUUCGAACUUGGGUCCCGAAUACCAACCACCAUGCAAGCACUUUACCACUUGCUCUAGGGACGAUCGGUGGUCCGUGGAAGUUCAAUCCUAAAUUAUGUAAUACUCAUAUAAAAACUGUUAAAUGUGAUACAUAAUCUCUGAGAAGUUCAAAUAUGAAAAGUUAUAAUUUUUGAAAACUUCUUAUCAAAAAGAAAAAGAAAAUCUAUUGUUCAUUCAUAAGAAUGAAACAACAUGCAAUGUUUUCUUACAGUGUCAACUAUGUUAAAUUAAUGUGUUAUUUGCUUAUAUAAGAAUAAAGAAUUGCAUUUUCUUUAUAUAUAUAUUUUUUGAAAUGGUAAGUAUUUACCAUGUCAAUUAGCAAGAAUUUACUACCUUCUUCGAAUAAAACUUCUAAUUUAAUUAGAACUGUUUAUUCAAAUUAUUUGCGUAAAAAUUAGUUGUUAAUCCAAUUUGUCUGAAAUAUAUGUCAUCAGACUUGACUUCAGAUCAACAAAAGAAAAAUGCUUCUCGGACUUGCAUUUUUGAAUGAAAUGUUUUGCCCGAAUUUGGAUAGUUUUUUGUUUGAAUCUAUCUUAUUUGUUUCGAAGAAAGUUCGAAGCAGGGAGAAAUAGAGAUGUUCUUCUGAACCAGAUCUAGAAAUCGGGCGAGGAGAGGCAAAAGUCGUGAGCGCCGACGAUAACAAAUAAAGUUUGAGAUCGCGUCUCACGAAGUCAUCAUGCAUCAUCAGGAGCUACUUUCUUCUUUGAUUUUGGGGGCGUUCGGAUCGACGAAUCUGUAGAUCCAACAUAACUCAAGUGCAGUAAUGUUUGAGUUUUUUUGAAGUGUGAUUAUUUUUUUGAUAUUUGUUUUGACGUAACUCGUAUAGUUUGAAAGUUAAAUUUAGUUUUUUUUUUUUAUGUAACUUGGUGUUAGUGAAAUUAGUUUUUGAAGCUUUAUUGGUUGUUUUUAUAUAAGUAAGUUGGUCUUGUUAUGUCCUAAAUAUAGUUAUAAACUUACCGCUAAAAAAUUUAACCUACUAUGUAAUAAAUUUUUAAUUAUUAUUUAACGGUAAUUCUAAUUUAUUAUAAAUAAGGUAAUUCUAACCCAUUAUAAAGGAAGUAGAGUUUAAAUUUUACUAUUUAAUAAAUUUUAGAGAAUGUUGAGUGUGGCGGAAGUCGAGUUUGGCAUUUUAGAAGAAAAACCGAGAAAGUCGAGAGUAGGUGAAGUGAACGUUUAACAUAACUUGAAUUACAUUAUAUUUUUGACUUAUACGAAAAUAAAUAAUGAAAGUGAUAAAACUUAAGUUUCAUCCCUCCAGUUACACUAAAACAAACGGACCUUUUGCCGCGCCAAAUGCUGGAUCUGCAAAAAUUGCAUAGAGUUUACCUCAGAAUCAAGUUUGAACGUCCCGCUUUAAUUGUUUCACUGCACAAACGAAAAAUAAAAAUAAAAAUAAAAAUAAAAAAUAAUAAAAAUAAAAAUAGAAAUAAAAAUAAAAUCCUGGUUAUUACGCUGACAUGUGGGACCCGCACGUCAGAGUCACAACCACACAGCUCACACCGAAAACUCCCACAAAACGCAGCGGAGGAGGGAGAAAGUGAUUUGCCUCCUCCUGCUUCGUUCCCUCUCCCAUGGCGAUGCGCUCCGUCUUCGACGGCGGAGCCCUACGAACGGAGUUCGAGAGCGCCGGGAUCAGCAUCCACUUCAUCCCCCUCAUUUGGAAGUAACAACCCCUUCUCCCUCUUUCCUCCCUCCGCCUUCUCCCUCUUUCCUCCCUCCGCCGCGCUCUUGACCUAGGGUUAGGGUUUCUCAUUCUCCUUCUUCUUCUUCUUCAGGCAUGUGCUCCAAAACCCUGGCUGCGACCUCGACUCCGUCCCCUCCCUCCCUUCUGCGGCAUACCCCCUCCUCAGGUCCAAGUUCCGGGCCAUGACCUCCUCCCUCGCCGCCGCAGUCGACUCCAAGGACCGCGACACCACCAAGCUCCUCAUCCGCCUCCAGGUACUAUACCCCUUUCCGAUCUCUAGGGAUUUUUACUCGGAUGCAUCGAUUUGAUCGAUAAGCGUAGUAGGAUCAUGGGAAAUGAGCUGUAGCGAAUGGUAUCAGUGUGCUCAACUAUCUUAUUAAGAAGAUAGACUCAUUUGCUGUGGUACAUUGUAUGUUACAAUCAAUUUCUCUUUGACUAAGUAAUUUAAUUGCAAAAGCACUAAUUGAACUGACGAUACCGAUAUAAUUAGGUUAGUAAGGUGUUUUAACGAACAAUAUAUGGUAUUAGAAACUUUGAAUUCAAAAGUGUUGAGUCAUGCUACCAAUCUUGUUGAUUUACAGUUGUCCUUAUGUCUCACUGAGAAGUGGGUAACAGCUUCUGAGCUUCAAUUUCUUUACGAAUUAUGGUUUUGCCUAGUUGACAAGUCUCUACUGUAAGAUUGUUAGACAGGCCAGAACAAGGGCCUGUUCCGGCAUUGCUGUAUGGUUCACCGCUGUUUGAUGAAGUUGUGUUUGAGCAGUGCUAUCAGAAGAACACUAUACUUUAUUCUCAACAGUUUUUUACCUUUUUUCCGCCAAAUCAGAAGCUCAAGAUUGGAGCUUCUGCUUUUGGGCCCUAAAAUCACAUUACUACUUUAGUCGUAUCUAGUUGCAACUAUAUAUGGAAUGGAAAAUAUCAUCCUUUGUAAUUCUUUAUAACCAGAAUGGCGCAUUUGUGGAAGCUGUAAUCAUGAGAUAUGACACGCGGUUGGGGAAGUACAAUGGGAAUCCUCGUCCUGGAGGUGUAAGAUCUACUCUGUGUGUCUCAUCACAGGUAUAAUCAUGAUUUUGUUUUUUUUUGUUCUUUGCUCUGGUUGCUUUUAAUCUGUGGGAAGAAAUUUUACCUUGUUAGAAUAUAUUUUUUGCUCCUAUUUAUGUCUCCUUCUCUAAUCUUACCAUGUUGUUCAGGUGGGGUGCAAAAUGGGUUGUAAAUUUUGUGCUACCGGAACCAUGGGUUUUAAGAACAACCUGUCAACUGGAGAAAUUGUCGAACAGUUAGUCCAUGCACAACAGUUCUCGCGGAUUCGCAAUGUUGUUUUCAUGGUAAUUUUUCUAGGUAUUUAUGUUGAUGGCCAUAAAAUCCUAUGAUUGUCUUCAUAAGAUAAAUUUCCUGGUUGAUUAAUUUUUUGUUGUUGAAUGUGUUUGCUAGAAUAAGUAGAAACAGAAUUUAAAAUUUAGGUUAUUCUGUAUAAAUACAGUUGUGUUCCGUUUUUCAUGUUUUGUUCUGUUCUGCAAUAAGAAUCUUAAUAGCAGAAUUUUAUUUUAAGAAUUUGUCAAUUUGUUCUAUUUAGCUUCCCUUUACAAAUUUUGAGAACUAUUUAAUCUAUUCUUCUUCGUUUUUGGUCGGGUUUUUUUUUUUUUUUUUUUUUUUUUUUUAUUUUCUUUUUUUUUUUUUUUUUCUUUUUUUGCUGUUGUGCAUUUAUAAUUUGUUUGGUGUCCAUCUUAGCCGAAUAACUAUUUUACCAGUUGCCAAAUAAAUUUGAUAGACACUGUUGAGAAUUAUACAGAUAUAUUAUGUUUCCUGAUACAUUAGCAUUUAAAAUUCUUAUUGCCAAUCCUGUAUGCUCUGAUUAAUCCAGUUGAUUUAUGAUGAACAUGCAGGGGAUGGGGGAGCCCUUGAACAACUAUAAGGCUUUAGUGGAAGCAGUCGAAAUCAUGACAGGACUCCCUUUUCAGCUGUCACCAAAAAAGAUUACUGUAUCAACUGUAAGUAGCCUUAAAUGUUUUUGCUGUCGAGUAUUUUAUUUUUUGAAAUACUUUGGAGGAAUUAUUUUGUCUUGUUUAUUAUAACUUGAUUUGCUACAUUUUGUGUUUUUUGAGAUUCUUAUAUUUUUUGAUAAAUCCAGAAUACAUGUCACAUCACUUGAUGCAGAGUCACUGAAUGUAAAAAAAUCUUAAGCAAUGAAUUUGCUAAGAAGCAUGACAUUUUUCUAUCAUUGAUAGGGGUGGAAACGAGCCGAGCUCGAGCGAGCUUACCUCGGCUCAAAUUCGGCUUGAAAUUAAUUUCGAGCCUAAAUUUAAGCUCAAGCUUGGAUUGAAAUUAAUUCGAGCCGAGCUCGAGCGAGCCUAAUUUCAAGUCGAGCGAGCUCGAGCCCGAAACGAGCCGCUUGAAAUUCUCAACAUUAUACGAUCAAUAGUUUAAUUUGUAUAAAACAUUAUCUAUAAUUUGAUACAAAAAUAUGUCUAAUAGUUCAAAGUACAAAAUAAUCAUAUGAAAUAUAGUAUUAUAAUAUGAAAAAAAAUAAUUUAUGGGUUGAAUAUCUAAUUUUUUCAGCCUCACAUGUUUUUUCUUCCGCCUUCAAUCUCUAUAUUAUUCAUUUUCAUUUAUACAGUCAAAAAUAAAUAAAUUAUAUAGAUAAAUAUUUGAUUAAACUAUCCAAUCAUAUAUAACUAAAAUUAAAAUUUUAUAUGAAUAAUAAUUUUUUACUUUAAAAAAUAUUUGUAUAUUUUCUCAAGCAUAAUAUUAAUAGCAAGGUAGCCAAUGGCGGGCAUAUAAUGUUACUUGGUAACUUAGAGGGCUUCCGACUUGGCCACUUAGGGUGAGAGACAGAAAAAGAGAAAGAGAGAAACAUAUUGAAAAUUUAGAGCUCUGUGAAAGAAAGAAAGAAAGGAAAAAUAUAUAAAAAUUUAGUAAAAUUUUGUCUCUUUUAUUUGUCUAUUGGGUUUGUUUUAUAUGGGCAACAACAUUGGCCCAAUUUUAACUAAACUCUGAUUAUUCACUCAGCCUAUAUAUAAUAUAAAAUAUAUUAUAUUUAUAUAUUUUUAAUAUAUAUAUAGUUAUAAAUAUAUAUAUAUAUAUAUAUAUAUAGUGGUAGAAUUACUAUGCUAUCAGAAAACAUAGAGGAUUUUAUAUUUUUGAAUAUUUGACCCUUUGAUUAAAAAUUAUAUGGUUGGGAUGAUUGCGGUCUCCCCUAGAAUUAAAUAAUACUCUUAGGAUUGAGUGGUCCCUACAAGAUAAUAAUAAUAUUAAUCCAAAGAUAAGAAAUGAUUAAAGGGAUUGAUCUAAGAAUCAAAAAAUCGAAAGCACCAGAUCUCUAUACUUUUGAUAGUAUAGUAACUUUACUAUAUAUAUAUAUAUAUUCGAACUUUUCGAGCUUUUCGAGCCUAAUUCGAACGAGCCGAGUAAUACUCAAGCUCGGCUUGAAAUGAAUUUCGAGCCUUUUUUUUUUGUUCAAACUCGGCUCAUUUAAUUUCGAGUCGAGCUCGAGCGAGCCAAAUAUCGAGUCGAACGCGAGUCGAACGCGAGCCGGCUCGCUCAUUUGCCAGCCCUAAUCAUUGAUGGCAAGAAUAAUUAUUCUAUAAGGACUUGUUACCCAUCAAUAAGCUUUUUGAUUUCUAUAUUCUGCUACUUAUCAUGAGGCUGCAUCAAUUAUUUAUAUUUUUGCCAUUUUCCUAUUAUACUUGUUUAAAGUUGUCCGCUAGUCUUACUUGCAGUAAAAGGUCCAUUUCCAAUUUUUAUGUUGCAGUUCUUCUACUUUGUAAGCUUCUUAUUGUGACCAAAACAGUUGUAUGAAUUUCAGACUUAAGCUUUCAUAUCAUUGAGCUAUUCUAUUACUUAUAAAUAUUUUCCUAUUACAUCAUUUUCAAAUAGAUUUUAGGUUUUUCCAUUUAUUUACUACUUUGGCAUUAUAUUUGGUACUUUUGUGAGAUGAAUCUUCAAUUCUUGAUUCUCUAAGGGAUUUUUAAGUCACUUUUGGUUUGUAAUACUAUGCUUGUAAUUAUGGAAUCAUUAAGGCUUCCAAUACUCUGGUAUGAUUGUUAGAAUCAUUAGAAUAGGGUAACCAAAUCAAGAUAAUGCCAUCUAUAAGGUUUCCCUUUUUCCUGUAUGUUGUCUUUUGUAUGUGUUAAUACUUGCUGACAUUUUGCUGGCUGAUAGCUACCAACUAAGAGUGGCUCAAAUAUAGGUGUCAAAUUUAUGCCAAUCUAGUCUGACUUUUUUUUAAAAAAAUUGCUAAAUUGCUUUCUGACAAUGUUAGAUCAUUUAUGUAUAUGAGAACCAAACCCCAUUAGAUUUUGAUAGUGCUGCUUUCUUGGGAAGACUAAUGCUUAGUUGAAGGAUAGUUAGGAAACUGAUUGAGGCUUAGAAAUGUACACUUCCUGCAACCAUCAGUAUACUGCCUGAGAGAAUGUUGGAAUCCUCCAACAGCCCUUAAAGAUCAAAGAAGAUUGGGGAAUCUUACUGACAAUUGGAGUGUUAUGAAUUUCACUUUUAACGUAAGGUUGAUCAGCUAUGGGAAAGAAUCUUACUGAUGAUAUGAGUUACCUCUAAUGACUUUCAUCUAUGAUUACAAUGGCUGUUUGAACUAACACAGAAAGCCAGGACGCUGUUAUUCAAGUGGAAAUAAUUGCAUAACAUUUCCUUCUUUAAUGCUAUUUGGUUUACUUCUUCCUUGUCAAUUCUUUCCUACAAAGAUGAAAUCUUAUCUUUGGUUGCUACAUCAGCACUCUUCUAAUUCUAUUUCAAACACCGAGAAAGAACCGUGUACUCAGAGUGUUGGAUACUCUUGAUCAAACUUUGCUGUUGUCCAGCGGGUAAACUACAAAUAUCGUCCAUAAUUCAGAUUAUGAUCUGUCUUCUUUUGCUAAUGUUAAAAGCAAUGACUGUUUUGUUAGUUAUAUUUUGAAAAAGUUAUUCUUAUGUAUGUCUUGUCUGAUUCUAUUUUAAUGUUCCAUAACUUUCUUCUGUAGGUUGGGAUCAUACAUGCCAUAAACAAACUCCAUGAUGACCUUCCGAAUGUGAAUCUAGCUGUUUCAAUACAUGCUCCAGAUCAAGAUAUACGUUGUCAGAUAAUGCCUGCUGCUCGAGCUUUUCCUCUAGGAAAGCUCAUGGAUGCAUUACAAACUUAUCAGAAUAACAGGUGAAAGCUUCGAAGAAACUGCUUAACAAUCUCUGUUUGUUUUGAUAGUUAUUGUGCAGUACGUCAUGACAAUAGUGAACUCUCUUACUGCAGCAAACAGACCAUCUUCAUUGAGUACAUCAUGCUUGAUGGGAUCAAUGAUCAGGAGCAGCAUGCACACCAGCUUGGCAAACUUCUAGAAACGCUUAAAGCGGUGAGCUACUUUUCUUGUACAAUUGUUCUUUUUUACCUCCUAUAACAUAACCUGUAUAACUCGAUGUGACUUUGAGGUGAUAUUAAUUUAUCGAUUUUUUUACUUUUUGGAGUUUGUUUCUUGAAAUUCAAUCAUAUGUUGCAGUCCGUAGCUGUAGUCUUAAAAGUCAGGUGGCCCUUACAAAAAGAAUGUAGGUGGAAUCGUUCGGAAUAUUUGUAUUGUUGCAUCAGCUGCUUUGUGUCGUUUCUUCUUCCUCGUCAGUAAAACUUGUGGAUUUGACAUUCCGAAUAUUUUGUUGCAAUUACUGCUGGAUAGAUAUAUCAUAUACGCGCCUAUCCUGUUUCUUUGCAGUAUUCAAAUUCUUUCAAAUACUUGCUUUCCUAUUCACCUGCAACUAGCAAUCUUUCUUCGUACUUCAUUUGAUGCGGCUGAGGAAGUCUAAAUAUUGAUCUUCUGAGAAUACAUGAGAGCUAUUCCAUGACUUGUGGGCAGCUUCGACCUCCGUUUGCUAUAAUGUAGCAGUGAAAACUUUAUUCAUUGAUGAUGAAUCUGUUACGACUUUCUGACUCAAAUCUCUCUGGAAGCAGGUCGUGAACUUGAUACCUUUCAAUCCAAUCGGCAUAUCGAGUUGUUUCAGAACCAGCAGUGAGCAGAAUGUGAAGAGGUUUCAGAAGAUCUUAAGAGGUGUCUAUAACAUCAGAACGACGGUUCGCCAACAAAUGGGUCAAGACAUAAGUGGGGCUUGCGGCCAGCUGGUAGUCAAUCUCUCCGAACAGAGAUCAGCUGGCGGUGCAUCCCUCUUAACUGACAUCGAAGAUCUUCGUAUCUAAUAUUGCUAUACAAGCAUCGCUUACAAAUUUCAGAUGAAUUCCAUCUUCCUUCAGUCUGUUUUUGUGAGGUGCACAUCUCUCUCCUCGUUCACACUGUUCUUCUGCUUACCUUUCCCCCCAAGUAUAGAGGUGUUAAUUUGACUUGUUAAUAUAGCCGAAGCUUUGUUUGAUUUUGUAAAUGCUAAAUGACAUGAUAGAACUGAUGUUACCAACACUGUCGCCAGCAGUGAGUUUUGGCACACUACAUCACACGUUAAUAUGAGAUAUAAGAAUAGUCCGUACAUGGCUUCUUGUUUUGUUGCUUGUUCCUUAGGUUAUAUCAGAGGCUUCAUUGUUUACUGUAAAGUGUAAACAACAAAUGCAUCUUACCUUGACCUGGAGCUUAAGGCCUAGUUUGGGGUUGCGGUGUGUCAAAAUAUCCAUUUUUAUACUUCGAAAGGUCUCAAAAUAUUUGAAAGCCUUUCCAAUCUUCCCUCCAAUGCAAUAAAAUCCAGCGGGAACCAUCAUCUGAGGAGCAAUCUAAUACAUGCUUUUUCACAGCAGUUCACACGGUAAUUUUAUAGCAUCGGAGGAAGAUCAGGUAAGUGCUUUUGAGAUUCUUCUUGAGUCUUUCAAAAGAAUGAAAAUGAGUGCUCGUAGUCAUCACAAUAUCAAACUAGAUCUAUAAAACAUUUACCAAACAGGCCGUGCAGGCCUUGGCCACAGGUCGGCCCGUCACGGCCCGCAUCCUGUUACUUUCCGUUAGUCCCGUUUUUUAUUUCUGGAUUACAAAUUCGAAAAACAAAAAUAUAAUUUGUUCAUAAAAUUUGAAAAAAAAAAAAACUUUUAAAAAAUUAUUUUUUUUUAGAAACUAUCUGAACGUAAAAUUUUUCUCAACUAAAAAAUUAUUUUCUGAAAUAUUAUCUGCAAGAGCAAACACCCACCACCUAAAUAAUUAAUCGGAGUGGAAACUCACACAUUCUCACUGACACGUGGACACCACAUUCCCAAUGUAUGUAUCCAAUCAAGAUUAUUAUGGAACACGAGUUUCAAACUUGCAUAAUUUUCCCGGCCAGUGGGAUUUAAAUAAUUAGUCGCAUAGUUUGGAGGGGUGAGAUGGCACAUGCAGCUAUUCGAUGGCCACUGGGAGAUCUUAUUGCCCGGACCAGGUCCACCAUGGACUGAACCUGCCACUUAAAAUAAUACAAUGUAGAUUGGUUUUUUUUUUUUUUUUUUUUUUUUUUUUUUUUUUUUUUUUUUUUUAAGAGAUAAGUAGCACGCUGCCCGCUUCGUUUAUUUCAUUUAGAAAUAAACUUAGCUGAAAAUGUGAAUCAACUAGGAUUCAAACUUGGGACCUCGGGUAUCAACCACCAAACCCUUUGCCACUUGCUCUAGGGACGAUCGGUAAUACAAUGUAGAUUGUUGAGCUUUUAUAAGGGAUCGUUUUUAGCUGUUCGAUGUGGUACACUAUUUUAGGGCUGCCGCGGCUGCCAACGAGCUGAACACAAGCGAGCCGGAGCAGACUAGUGUUAGCUUAUUUAUUAAACAAACUAAACAUAAACUGGCUCAUUAAAAUACCAAACUGAAAAAUUCAACUUGUACUCGAUUUUGUUAUUAACAAACUAAACACAAGCUAGCUCACAAACAACAAAUUUGAUUGUCAGUCUUACAUUUCGACUUAAGAAAAAUCAAAAUUCUUAAUCUAAUAAUUACAAUUCACAAAGUAUAGAUUUUCUUUACACUUGGAUUGUUUUAAAAUUCAAAAUAGUAAAACUUUGUAAUAUAACUAUAUCGAAUUGAAUUUGAUGAGCAAAUCCCAGCUUAUGCUCGGCUCGUUAAAAUUUUAAAUUGUUAAGAUUUCAAAUCGAAAAAUUCAACUUAUAUUUAGCUCGUUUAUUAAACAAACGAUCGAUCUCGAACUCAUUUCCAACUUAACAUGAGCUGUCUCACGAAUAACUAGUUGGAUUGCCAACUGUACAUAUGAAUAAUCAUAACUUUUUAAAACUUCUUAUAUCAUAAAUAAAAGUUCUUCUAAGAUUUUUUAUUUUAGGACUAAUAGAUUUCAAAAAACUUUUGUAGGUUGUGAACCUCAUCUUAGUAUUUACAAGAUUAUAAAGAUUGCAUGAAUAAACAUUGUGGAUCGGGUUUUGAGUAAUUAGUUAGAUUACAUCCGUGCAAUAAUUUUUCUUUUUUAGCCAAAGAAAUUACUAUGUGCUGAACUUUAUAUAUUUUAUUAUAUAUACCGUUUUCUAAAACUAGUUAUUAAAAUUAAAAUCUAAUUUAAAUUUAAUGACUUUAAAAAUUGAAAAUUUUGGUCCUCAUGAAAUUACAAAUUUGGUCCUCAACCUAUGAUUGAUGACAUUUUAGUUCUCAAAUUUUAAUUUACUGUAUUUUUAUCAUGAACUUUCAGAAUUAUUACAAUCAAGUUAUAUGGCCUGAAUUAGUUAACAAAAUAUUAAUAUAUCACUAACGUAGAAGCAAUACGAUGGUGUUGUAAUUGAUAAAAUGCCAAUAAUUAAAAUUAUCGUCUCAUUUAAAUCAGCGAUGCGUUAAUAUAUAAUCAACUAAAUUUUAUUGUGAAAUUUGAUUAUAAUAAUUCUGAAGAUUCUAGCCAAAAAUUAAAAUAAUUUAAAAUUUGAGGACUAAAAUCAAAGUUUAAAGUGCCGUGGCACGGGGGCGUACCGUUAUGUUCCUAGCAUGGUACGGUACAGGCACGCUUACGUGCCGACACGUGACACGCUUGCGUGCCGAUAGAUACGCGUGACCUACUACUGGCAUGCUUUAGUACGGAUUUAUUUCAGUUUUUUUGGUUCUAAUAAACUUUUAUAAUGUUAUUUUGAAAGAUUUAAAUAAAUAAUUAUGAAUAUUUAUUACAUAUACCUUACUAUACUCAUCAAUUAAUAUGCAUGUAAACUUUUUAUAAAUAAAAUACAACUAUACCUGAUAUAGAAUAGAAAUUAAAAUACAAUAAUAAAAUUCACAAGUACAAUAAUUAUUUAAAUUUAUAUCUUUUUAUAGAGAUGACUGCUUAAUUCGACAUAGAUCGUCACGCUUGAUCAUAUGGCGUAUUGUCAUCUGCAGAUACAAGAUUUAUUUGACAAUAUUGAUAUAAAUAUUGCCGGUAUUGUGAGAAAGUCAUAUAUUCUAGAUAUUAUAUCUAUAUUUUGUUCUUUUAUUCUUUUUAAAAAUAUCUGAUCAAAAUUUGUUUAGGAGAUCGAUUUUUGUUCCCUUAAUUCACCGAAAGUUUCGCGGUGCGAUAAUUUUUGACAAAAUAUUUUACGAAGAAAAAAUGGAUGUCUGUAAUGAAAACGGAAGGCUCGGGCCGACAUGGUACGGCACGUACGGCAUGGGCGGCACCUGAAUCCUUGACUAAAAUGUCACCCGCUCAUUGUUUGAGUACCAAACAAGCAAUUUACCCUUCAAGAUAUUAAUUGCUAGCCAAAUAUUUGGCACGGUGCACAGCAUGUACGGGUACACCGGGUGCAGGGAAUUCUUUCUGCAGUUGUUCGUGGUUUUUAUUAGUGACUCGGCGGUCACCCACCUUCUCCUUCCCGCGACAUCUCUCCUUCCUCUUCGUCUCUCUCUCUCUCUCUCUCUCUCUCUCUCUAUAUAUAUAUAUAUAUAUCUAUAUAUAUAUAUGUAUAUACAGAGAACCAAAACCCCGCGAACACCGUCCCCCUCCGAAACCCUCGCUUCGCCCCUCCUCUCUCCUCCUCCUUAAAUAUACCCUCAUCGAUCGAUCCAAUGACUCGCCCCAUCGCCUCCUCCUCCUCUCUCUUCGUCGCCACCGCCUCCUGAGGGAGGGAAAUGUUCGCGCUCGCGCCUCCGCCGCCGCCGCCGCCGCUGCGGAGCUUCGUCGCGCUCGCGACUACGACGACGACGAAAUUAGGGUUUGGACUCCCUGGGGCGAGAUCGAGGGCGCCGCGGCCGAUUACGGCUGCGGCAUUGGACGGGGACGACGAGGCGCGGGCGGGGUUUAGGGGUCGGAGGCAGGGGGCGGUGGAUCCGACCCUUGGGAGUUCGUCCGGAUCAGGUAUAUUGUUUUCUUGAUCUGUUUAAAACCUUUUUGUGUUUUGGUGUGUUUCUUUUUUUUUUUUCUUUUUUUUCUUUUUUUUUUUUUUCCAUUCCAUGGAUCUGAUGGUGUAAUCUCACAAGAAUCUUGCGGGAAGAGGUUAAUGUCGACGAUCUUGUCGUUAUUCAGGGUAAAAGUACUACAAGGAAACCUCCACAACUAUUAGCCACUGUGAAUUAGGCCCUUUGAAAAUCGUUUUUCUUUUUAAUUAUUAUCAUUUUAAUUGACGCGAUUGCUUUGAUUAAAGCUAUAGCAAUUAGAUGAAUCGGGCAUUUUAAUUUAAAGAAAAAAAAAGUAGAGGGGCCCCUCUAUUUGAAAAUUUGCUCGGGGUAGUCUUUAUAUCAUCGUAUUCUGGUAAUUGAUUUCAUGAUUCAGAUGAACUGAAUUUAAACAGAAUCUAGAAUUGAAAUUUAUAUCAUCGUAUUCUGGUAAUUGAUUUCAUGAUUCAGAUGAACUGAAUUUAAACAGAAUCUAGAAUUGAAAGUAAUUACACCAAAUCCAUUUUUAUAGGGGCAAACGAGAUUAUUAUAUAUGGUGAAAUUCGGACCGAUCAUGUUCAAGGAAUUGACCUGUUAAUAUUAAAACUAGCUCUAUUGCUGGAAUUACGCAGCCAAAAUGCCUGCAAACCUCUCUUGGAAGAUUAAUUCAAGAGAAUUUUUAGUUUUAUCGAUAAUCUAGAAAUAAAUUUCCACUGCCCAGAAAGCAUAUGUUGAUCCGAGUCCUAAAUUUGCUUUCUAUAGUUAUUGGUUAUAAGAAAAGACCAUUUGUGGGAUGGUGGGACCUUUGAUGUUGGGAAUGUUGGCGAAAGAUAUUUGUUUGAAAAGAAGCAUACCAUGCUGGUGGGCCCAUUUAUCUCCCAGUGAUAGGGCAACAAUAUAUUGAAAAUUUGUCAAUCCAAGGCACUUAAAAAGUGCCCAAGAUAAAAAAAAAAAGAAGAAAAAGAAUGAGAUAACAAGGUAAGGAAAUUCUUUUGAGAUUUUUGGCUUUCUUGUUCUGAUGGAAUUUUUUGGUUAAUCUGUGACUCAGUACAUGUAAAUUCUAAUAUGAAAGAAUGUUUCAACAUCUUAUUGUGAGUAAUCUUUUAUAGAAGUACUUCGUUAGUUGGUUGCAAGUCAGAAACCAAAUUCUACAACUGGGACCUUGAUGUCUAGGAUGGUUGGCAAUGAUGAGAUAAAAGAAGCAUUGUGGCCUUGUGGGACCAUACAAGUCAUUGUCAUAUGAAGAGUAGCUAUUGAGGGCUCCUAAUUGGUAGAAUAUGGAAAACAGAAAUGUUGUACAACAAUAGAAAUCCUCUUAACUGGAAUAUGUGCCUGUUUGGCCCUGCUUCUACAUCUUGUUUCUAGGAGUAAAUUCUCAACAGCAUACAACUAUUGUCAUACUGUUGUCCUUCAUUCAUGAUGAAGUUCCAUCUGCUUAAUAUUUUUUUAAUAUAAUUUGCAAUUGAUAGCUAUGGUAGUUGACUAUUUCUAGUUCAAAAUUAUUUUGAUCAGCCAUCAUCCAGAGCAUUUUAUUUUUCAUUUCUGGAGGCAAGUUCAGUUGCCUGCAGUUAAUCUCAAUGAAGAAUCAACAGUCUGACUCUUUGAGCUUCACAUAUUUUUUACUUGGUGGUUCCUUGCAUAAUAAUUUCUUGACUUCCACAUAAUGUCGAACAGAAGAGAAAAUUUCACUGAAUAAUGCAUGUUACUCUUGAUGAUUUGCAUAGAAUCCAUUUUGGUAGCUCUUCCACUUAUGUUGAAUCAAUGAACAUGUGAUACAAUCGGACUAAUAUGAUAAAGCUUGGUUUUACAGUUGCAUCACCAGAUAAUAUACCAUUUUGUUGUUCAUUAUUACCAAUGGAAGCAAUCUGUUUUCACUCUUUUGCUGUAAUGUUUCUUCACAUGCUUUUGAUUUUGUUAGGAAUGGAGAAUGUUGUGACUGUCGGAAAAUCGACAAACAUUUUAUGGCAUGAUUGUCCAAUUGGAAAACUCGAAAGACAAAUGUUACUGAAGCAAAAGGGUUGUGUAAUUUGGAUCACAGGCCUCAGUGGUUCAGGUCUGUAAUUUUCUGUUUGCUCUCUUUAUCAUUCUAUAAUGAAGCAUUUUCGGUUUCACUUUUAUAUUGGUGCUCUGGGUGAAAGGGAUUUGUAAUGUGAAUCAGAGUCUCCUCUUUAAUGAAAUGACCAUGUUUUCUUGUUUCAGGAAAAAGCACUCUUGCUUGUGCUUUGAGUAGAGAGCUACACUGCAGAGGGCAUCUGACUUAUAUCCUUGAUGGUGACAAUCUUAGACACGGCCUUAACCGGGAUCUUAGUUUCAAAGCAGAGGAUCGUGCAGAAAAUAUACGCAGAGUUGGUGAGUUUAUUUAGAAUUGAGUCAUUUCUUUGCUAUCAUGAACACAGACAGAUACAUUCAGAAUAAACAAUUGCUGGGGUAAUCAGAUAUUUUAUGGCCAUUUUGUUGAUUUUGCUUCAGCUUGUUGCUCUAAGAGACUAGCUUUUGCAUUGCUUCAGCUUGUUGCUCCAAGAGACUAGCUUUUGCAUUGCUUCAGCUUAUUUUAGAAGUUUCUCAUCUUCCAAUAUUCAACCCACUUUACUGUGAACUAUUUAUAAUGGAAUUCUUAUGGACAAGUAUUUAAACUAGAUUAUGUUUUCAUCACUUCUUGAUUACCUGUCUUUUUGUAGGGGAAGUAGCAAACCUCUUUGCAGAUGCUGGUGUUAUAUGCAUAGCUAGUUUGAUAUCGCCAUACAGAAGAGAUCGAGAUGCCUGUCGUGCUCUACUUCCAGAAUCCACAUUUGUCGAAGUAAUUGCUCAAUCUUUUUGAAUUCAAAAUGUUAGUUUACUUUUCUAUUAUGAGUUGUUUAAUAAGGCGGUAGUAUUGCAGGUCUUCAUGAAUGUUCCAUUAGAAGUUUGUGAAGCAAGGGAUCCAAAAGGAUUAUACAAGCUUGCACGUGCAGGAAAGAUCAAAGGUAUUUUCCAGUUUAACAUUCAACCACUUUCUUACUUCAGGUGCACGGAUUUGUUUCCCUAUUACCAUUACUUAAAAAUAAUUUUCAUCUUGGAACUUAAUAUAAAUUUCAACUUAUUAGCGUAUUUUGAUAUGCAGGUUUUACUGGAAUAGAUGAUCCGUAUGAGCCACCCUUGGACUGUGAGGUAAAUAUAGACAGCUCUGAUAGAUACCAAAUGUUGGAAAGUAAAUAAAUUCGGUUCAGCAUGGCUGUACUAUAUAAAUAUAGACAUCUCUGUUAAACUAUUCGGAAGUAGUAUUCAUCUUCUUGUCAAAUAUCAACGAGUUUUGCUGCAGGUUUAACUUCUGUUUGGGGUUCAUGUUAACUGUGAUCUGUAAAUAAUAUGCUAGGUGGAUGAUCAUACCAGCUAGAUUAACAUCUAUCAACGAAAAGACUGUCAGAUUUAGUGAUGUAUAAUUGAACAGUAUCUAAUGGGCAAAUCUUAGUACAAGCUUUUAAACCAUGGAAAUCUUUUUCAAUAAAUGCGGAGAAAUCUACACAUUUCAGGUGUACUUAGUUCUAGGAGUCGAGCACGCAAAGAAAUGAGAUGGCUUAGUGCUGCUUCUUUGGUGCCAUGUUUGCCUGAAGGAUUAACCAAAUAGUUAACAGCCAAGGUGUAGACUUAUCAAAAUACACUUGAUAAGCGUCUGUCAGUUUGAAAUGUGUGAAUGCAUCUAAGUUGACUUUGCCUCAAGCUGCAUUUAGCUGAAUACUCUGACAAGGUGUUCCUUUUUCAACUUUACUCUUGUUUAUGAUCCUGCGAAAGGAUCAUAAGUGAAACAUGAAAUGUUGGAUUCUGCAAUUUAUUCAAACAAUGGAGGUACAAUAAUCCUGGACCAUCGUAACAGAAAAUUGAUGGAUAUUAAUCAAUCAACCUUGUUGAUAAGUGGUCGUAACUCUUCAUUGGACCACAGUAAUAGUCUUUUUGGCCUUCAUAUAUUCAUGCAUGUAUGCUGUCCUACCUUUUCCUGUUGCCAUUGGUAAGACUCAGAAAAUCUGAUUGGGAUUCCGCAGAUAGUUAUACAAUUGAAAGACGGGAAGUGCCCUACACCGAAAUGUAUGGCCGAGCAAGUGAUAUCGUACCUUCGAGAGAAGGGAUUUUUGCUGGGGUAGAUGGACUUUAGCUGUAUUCACAGCUCUUGCAGGCUGCUCGCUGGAAAAUGUUUUCAGAUGCCGAUUUUUGAAGUAUAAUACGAAUGAAACUGCACUGUGGGCGCCUAAAGCUGCAAUAUAGCGUCACUGUUUUCCUGUGCAUUUAUACAUUGUACAUGUAUAAUACAUACAUAGUCAGCAUCUUGUUCAUAUCAUCAUUUUUUUUUUUGGUCCAUUCCUAAUGCGGUUAUGCAUUUCAAGUAUGCUGCUUCUGUUUUCUUCGUCUUUUUUUUCUUCUUUUUUUUUUUUCUUUUUUUCCUUUUUAUCCUCCCUCAUCCCCUAAGGCUAGAAGGGUGUAUUUCUGUUAUGUACAGUGACAUGUGUACGGGGCAUUAGACAACAUUAAUUGCUGAUUGUUCAAAUAGCAGAAUUAGAAAAGUAAAGAAUUCUUGGUAGAAAAUUUGACUCAUAUUUUGUUCGCAAAAAUAAUUCACUGCUAGUUCUGAUCAUAAGUUUAAUGCAUGCAUAUAUAUGAAUAAAUUAAACAUAUUUGGUUUUAGAAAUCAUAUUCUGUUCGUGUGGAUAUGGAAUUAUGGAUUCACAUGUCGCAAAUAUUUCAUAUAUCUAUAAUUCUAUCCAAAACGUAAUAACAAACUAUAUGCUUUUGUUAUUUUAAUUCCUUCACUGUGCUAACAAAUCAUAGAUUGGCAUGGUAUAUAUAUUGGUAUGAUAGAGACAUCGAAAAGAAUGGGAUAGAAAAUUUCAACAAUAUUUAUAUAUACAAAAGUAUCUGUGUAAGGAUCGAAUCUGACUAGUAACAAAUUGUAAAUAUCUAGUAAAACUUAGAUUCUAAAAGCAUAUAUUUUUUUGGGCUCAUUUUGCUUGUCACGACAGCCUCCAAUGUGAGAUUGUUUCAUCCACCGUUAUCACUUGCACACUGCAAAUCUCAAAGCAGCAUGAACGAUAGAGUUAGAACAGAUCACAUGGGGACUGUCCCUACCAAUUUCUUCUUUUUUUUUUUUCCCCUCAUUUUUACCCUUUGUGGAAGUGCUUUUACUUAAUAUUGUAAGACAUAUAUACAAAAUAUUAUAUGAGCAGUACAUCAAUCAACUUUGCCUAAAUCUAUCAAGAUCAUAAUUUUGAUACUCUAUUCAAGAGACAAAUUUUAGGGGUACUUGAAAUCCAUCUCUUAAAUAAGCUCAGUUCACAUAAAAAAUCAUAUCAGCGAGAGCGCGAGAGAGAGAGCUUAAUUUGCUUAUACGUAAAUACGGCAGGCAAAUGCAUGCAUGGUGUGUAUAGUGGAAAAGCGAUCUGAUAUAUUCAGCAAGAGCUUCUCUACGCGGACACGUAGGUACUACGUGCCACCAUGCAUCACGAGUGUGCAUGGGAAAGGCCAUAGCUGCAUGUUUCGUUUUGCUUGAGUUUCUAAUGAAUUAUUAUUACUCGAAUGGAGCCAUCAAAAGAAAGUAUAACAACCUUUUCAUUAAAUUAAGUCGAUCUCUACGAUAACUUUAUAAUUUCUUCCCUAUUAAAUAGAAGCUUCAAAUUUUAGUUUUUCUUUUAGGAGUUUAUUUUAUUUUAUAUAAUAUUUUAUAUCUCUCUUUCAUUUAUAAAUUAUUAUUUAUGAUUAUAGAAAGUUAAUUAUUCUUGACAAAGAACGUGGUCAACUAGCUUUUUUGGAAAGUGACCCAUAAAUAAAAUAAUGGAAAUUUCACAAAUCAAGAUGCAGAUAAUAGUUUGAUAAUUAUAAUUUUCUUUUGCAUCAUUAUAUUUAAUAUUCAUAUGAUUUGUGAAAUAUUAAUAUUUUUUUUUGUCUGAAAUGCUUAAUAGAAUACAGCUCGUCAAAAAUAUAUUAAACUUUCUCAAUCUGAUACAAACAAGCUGAUGGAAGAAACUUUUCUUGAUAUUAUAUAUGGGUUCUAAGUACAAUAGACGUGUGAAAGGCUUAGACUUGAUCUAUGCUAAGAUUAUAUUAUAGUAUGAGACAUAUGAAUUUGCCUACAAUGAGCGAAUCAAGUGGGGGCCAAUCAUAUAUAGGAGGCAAAAAGGCUUUAAGGAAAAUUAGAACAUAUAAAAAAUAAAAUGAGUGAACUUCUCAAUUAUAUUUACAUGCGAGUGGAAAUGGACCACCUAGAAGCAUUACUAUUAGAUCGGAGUUCUCAAUUCUCACUUAUACGAAUUUGAUAGCAAAUUAUUACUAAUAAUAUAUUUGAUAAGUUUGUAUUUUAAUAUAAUUAGCAAUUUUUAUAUAUUUUGAUACUUUGUAUGUUGUGGGUGGUAAUAUUAAUCCGAUUGACGCAUUCUCUCGAACCACCGAUCACUCAUCGAAUGUAUAAAUUAUGAGCCUACAAGUGAAGAAAACUAUCAAAUAAUUUAAAUUUCUAUAAACUAUUGGAAACUCAACUAUUUAACUUUCUUUUGUUUAAUGUGUUGCUACUAUUAGAUAUAUAUUGAAUGAGAUUAUAUUUUGGAUCACAUGUUAAAGAAUUAAUUUGUUUUUUUUUGUUGAGAAUUGUUCUAAUUCUUGUGUUGUUAUUAUAUUUUGAUUGAAUGUUCAAUUAUCCUUUUUAGUAUUUUGUUUUUUUAGUGAGAUAUGUAUUAUUUGAUUUGUGUUAAUAUUUAAGAUAAUAUGAUUAUCAAUAAAUUUAUAUUUUUUUUCAUAAAUGCAUAAAAAAUAAGUAUUAAUAUAAUUUGUUUACUAUAUUUGUACAGUAGAGGUAGUUGAAACCGUCUCUACCUAUUGUCUCUGCAUAACAAUUUUUGUAAAGGUGUAUUAACUAAUAUUUGUAGAGAUAGUUUAAACCGUCUUUAUAAAUUAAUAUUUAUAUAGGCGGUUCAAACCACCUCUAUAGGUUAAAAUUUGUUGAGACUAUUUCAAUUGUUUUCAUAUAAUUAUUAUAUCAUUAAUUAAAAAUAUCAAAAAAUAAUUAUGCAUAAAUAUUGGGUGGUUCUAUAUACCACCUCUAAGCUCCCCGAUGGUCACUUAAACGCCUCUACAUUGUAGAUACACUAUCUAUGCCGGCGGUCUAGAUGUGGUUGUAGAAACCGCAUCUACAAUAUGUAGAAGCGGUUUAUAUAGCCUCCACUGUAACUAAAAACUGCUUCUAUUCCUUAUUGUUAGAACUAAAACUGAAAAGAUCUAGUUCGUCAGAUAUGAAAAUAUCAAAAGAGAGCCAAGAAAGAGAGAAGAAAAAUAAAGCACACAAUAUUUACGUGAUUCGGCCAACGGCCUACAUCCACGGGCGAAGACGGAGCGGAGAUCUUCAUUAUAAUCAAAGUGGUGUACAAAAUAUGCUUCUCUCACAAAACCCUAAUCCCAAAAAAUGCACCCAUAUUCUCUCUCUCAUCUUCCGCACUAAAUCAAUAGCAAAAAUGGUAUAUUUAUAAUAGUGGUUAAAUCCUAAAACGAUUAGGAAUACAAACCCACCAAGAUUAGAAAUAUCUCAAUAAAAUUAGGUAUAAUCUAAACUUAACUUAAUGAGAUAAUCAAAAUAGAAUAGGAAUAGAAAACCUUGCGGUACUAGAAUUCGAGACAUAUCUAACACUUAUAGUGAAAAUAUGUAUUUUUAAACUUUGGAAUGCGAAAAAGAAGAAAUUCAAAAUAGUUCCAAUUUUAAUUUUCACGUAUAAUGCUAUAAAAUUUUGAUAUGAGAAGCAUAUAAUCAACUCCAUUAUUUUUCCUGCUUUGACUGCAUGUUAUUAUCAAGUUGUUACAAAGAUGCCAAGAAGACACGUGCAAGCAUACACUUGCCCUAAACAACACCCAAUGGAGGCUCCAUGUGGGAUUGCAGAGAAGGUUCCAUUUAGUAUUGCAGAGAUAUUGCGUUAUAUGUAGUGUAGAAGCUCCAUUUAGAAUUGCAGAGAUAUAUAUUGUGUUACGUACAAUGAAAACAUAUAUACGAUAGAAAAAUAUGCAGCUUUUCCAUAUAUAAUAUCAAAUUGCACAUAUCGCGAUUAGUUAAUUAUGAUAUUUUUUUUCUGUAGCACCAUCGAAAAGAGAAGAAGCAUGUCUCCAUAUGUUUUUGCCGUAAGUUGAUCCAUUUUGCCUAACAACGUCAAAUGAGCCUAAGUACCGAACGAGUCUAGACUCUAGACUCUGGACGCUGCAGCUACGUAGUGCUAUUAAUAUUUUUUAUCAUGAUUCAUGAACUUGAGGUUUAAUGGUCUGUUAAUUAAUUUAAACCUCAAAACAAAGUUUUAAUUAAUACUUGUUUAAGGAAAAAAAAAAGAAAGGAGAUACAUUAAAGCACAUUAAUUACCAAGAUUUCUUCUUAACAAGAUUCCCAUAUAGAUUUCUUUCUCGAAAAAGGGAAAAGAAAAGCACCCCACAACUUAAAUUAAUGCUGGACUAUAAAUCCCUUUAGUGGCUGUAUCCAUUUGGUCACUUAACAAAAGAGGCAAAUUGCAAGUUAAUUACUUUAUUAGAGUAUUUCUAUACAUGGUGAGUAAUAUUUGGAACAAAAACGAAUAAAAUAAUAUAUCUUGUUUCCAAAAGUUUUUUUCAAAAUUGGAUCUUCUUUCCACCCUUGUUCUCAUGAGUUUUCUCUUCUUUGAAUCUUUCUCUCUCAGCAAAGAGAAGUGAAGGUUUUCAUGGAGAAACUGUUGCUUCUCUUGUUAUGUUGCACUAUCAUGGAAGGUUUAAACUCUAACUUACGAUUUACAUAUAUUUUGCAUUCACAUCAAAUACUAUGUCAUAUAAAAGAUUACGAAAGAUAAGACUUAUGCAUGAAGUGUAAAAUUUGCUAUCGCAGAUUCUACCGAUUGAGUUAAAUUAUAAAUGUUGGUUUGAGGUAACAAAUGAAAUUUCUCUUUAAUGACUCAGUUGAAGAUAGAGUAAUCUCUUAUUUAAAGUGUGUUAUGAAAGAAAAUCACAACUUGCGCAUCUACUGAUGAAUAUAUAUAUUUUAGAAUCUUUCAUUCUAUGAUAUAGCUAGACAAUGUCUUAUAAUUUUUAGUAUUAAAAGAAGGGAGUGAUAAACGUACGUAGUGUGAAAAAAUGGCACUUGCAUAGUGGUAUUGUAAGAUAUGCAUCGAAAAGUGAAUGCGUUUGUAUAUUUGCUUGGUCGUAAUGUGUAUGAAAUUAACUACUUGAAUAUAUUAGUUGAAUAAAAUCACAUUUUUUUUUUUAUCUAUUUUGCUUUUUUAGGAUGGAUGAUGCAUUCUCUAUCUUAUGAUUAUUCAGCAAGCAUCGAGGCAAGUUUCAUUCAAUGAAACUCUCUCUCUCUCUCUCCCUCUCACACACACCAAGUUUGCAAGUGUUAACCACUUUUUGUAUGUUUUUUUCUUUUUCUUGUACUACUAUUUAUAAUUUUAUUUUUCUUUUGGGAGAAAAAGAUGACUUGUUACCUGCUUUGUUUUCUUUUGAAAUAAAUAUAGUUAAAAAUGCAAAACAACUGAGCUUUUGAACGUGAAAUUUUGAAUACCAACAAUCAAACCUUUUGCCUAGCUCCUACGUUAGAGACGCUCAUUCUUGUGCUACUAUUGUUGUUGUUGUUGUUGUUGUUGUAGGAUCGAGGAGCACCCAUUUUGGCUCUAAAAGCAGCACUUAGUUAACUUGAUGAACAGUUAAUUGUAUGAUAUUACAUUAUCUUCCUGAUUAACAAAUGCAAUGUUAACUGAAGAAAUAACUCUUAGUCAAAGUCUGCAAUCUUUGAUGAACUGCAAAACAAGUCAAGCCAAACCAGGCAAUUCUCUUUUAAGUUUCCAGUACCUUUUAGUUUAAUUAUAUUAAGUUCUGCUUGGUCAACACAUAUUUCUAAGCUGGAUCAAACCGAAAAUUAGUUAUCUUUGACUGGCCGUCCCUCCCUAACGCAAGUAACAAAAAACUUUUUUUUUUUUUUUUAUUUGAGGGAUAGGUAGCAUGCUACCCGUUUCGUUUAUUUCAUUUAGAAAUAAAUUUAGCUGGAAAUGUGAAUCAACUAAGAUUCGAAUUUGGGUCUCGGGUACCAACCACCAAGCCUUUUGCCACUUGCUCUAGAGACGGUCGGUAAGUAACAAAAAAGUUGAUAGUUAAUACCCGAGGCCUAAGUUCGAAACCUACUUGUUUUACAUUUCCAACUAAAAUUAUUUCUAAAAAAAAGCGAAGUGAAUAACCUACUAUCUUUCUCUCUAAAAAAAAGAAAAAAAUUCAACUGCACAUUUGAAUUGACAAGUAUGUGUGUGAAUGUGUUAUUUCCUUAGAUAUUUCUUAUUGGUUUUCAUGAUCUCCAUCUACAAAUGUCUUUGUUAUUUCCUUGGACAUUUCUUAUUGACUUCUAUGAUCUCAAUUUAUUGAAUGUCAAACCUAAGUACAUUCCCAUCUCCAUGGUUUGCAUCUUCUCCAAACUAUCACUUUUACACAAGUAACAAACAUUACAGCAUUUUGGUAUAAAUAACAAAGUUGUUCCCCUCACAUUAUAUACAGGAUGAUACCAAACUACCAUCUUCUAACGCUUCCGCUCACAACUCUUUUUAAUAACCAUAAGCAGUGCUUGGCUGAGCCACCGAAACCGCAGUACGGCGGGGGGAUCAUUAACGCCGGCCUGAGAGGAUGGUCAAACUCCGGCCUUUCAGCGGACGCUACGAGGGCCUCCGCAAGCGGCAAAACGUUCGCGGUCGUGCGCAGCAGGAGAAAACCUUAUCAGAGCGUCUCCCAGAAAGUGUACCUGCACAAAGAGAAGCUCUACACACUCUCUGGUGAUACUCAAAAGGCCACUCAAUUUCAUUCGGGAGUGUUCUGUAUUUGAGCUCACACGCAUUUGCCGCGAUGCUGUUUUUUGCAUUGUGCUCCAGCUUGGGUACGUAUCGACGAAGGAAGCGCAGUCGUCGGAGCUGUGUUUAAGACGGCAGGAGACGGCUUUGUUCACGCCGGUUUGGUCGAAGCCAAGUCGGGUUGCUGGUCCAUGCUGAAAGGAGGGCUGACUGUAAAGACUUCAGGACCGGCAGACCUAUAUUUCGAGGUGAGCAAUCUUUAGAUUAGGAGAAAACUUCAAAAUGCGCCUCAACGGCAUCGCGCAUUUGCGCUCUGCUACAGCAUGGUUCAAAGUACAGCAUUUUUAAUUUCCCCCCUAGUUUUCCAUUACGAACUCAUCACAUCAUUAAGAGUUGUAGAAAAGUGUAAUUUCUUAUGGACCAUAGAUGAUAAAGUGCUAAAUGCAUGAUAACGUAGCAUUAGGUCCCUAGGCAACGAGCUACACUUUGAACUACAUAGUAGCAAACGGUAAAUGAGCUAUAUCAUGGCGGGCUUUGUGAUAAGAACUUAAAAGAAGAAAAAUAGCAAGCAACUGUUUUUAUUUCAGCUGAUCAAGUUUACCACAUAGAAACAGAAAAUAUUUUUGUGAAAACAACUAUUUAUGAAUAGAUGUCGCCUACAUUACUGCAGAACAAAAAUAUAACAGUAGAAAUAUGGGUGGACAGUGUCUCCUUGCAACCGUUUACCGAAGAGCAGUGGAGAGCUCACCAAGAAGAGAGCAUCAAUAAGGUAAUUUCUACGACCCGAAACAACUUAAUAAACGCAUUAACAUUAACAAAGAAGUAAUAGUCAUGAAUAAAGCAGGUGCAUUGAAAUUGGGCAGAUCUAACUAUGAAAACAAUGUACCUGCUUGUUAGUAACAAUUCCUGCUCGAUUAAUAUCAUUUUGCCAACCAUUAUCAACCCUUCUAAAUCUUUUCUCUCAAUGCAAAAGAAAACAAGUAAAAUAAAAGAACUCGAAAUAACCGAUGAAGGUUCGCAAGAAGACGGUGAGAAUUCAAGCCAUAGAUGCCAAAGGAAACACCAUACCUGGAGCGAACAUCGCGAUCCAACAAACCAGACCGGGAUUUCCCUUCGGCUCAUCCACCAACGAGAACAUCAUCAACAAUACAGCAUACCAGAACUACUUCGCCUCCCGCUUCACCGUAACCACAUUCGAGAACGAGAUGAAGUGGUAUGCAACAGAGCACGCGCCGGGCAAAGAGGACUACUCGAAAGCCGACGCCAUGCUCGCCUUCGCUAAAAAGCACAACAUUCCGGUCAGAGCGCACAACAUCUUCUGGGAUAACGCAAAAAUCCAGAUGCCGUGGGUGCACUCUCUCAACGGAACACAGCUCUGGUACGCUACGUCGAAAAGAAUCAACUCAGUAAUGUCGAGAUACAAGGGCCAGGUCAUUGCUUGGGACGUAGUAAAUGAGAACCUCCAUUUCUCAUUCUUUGAAGAUAAACUCGGAAGAGAUGCAUCAAAUGUCUUUUACCAAGAAGCUCAUGAGCUCGACGCCGACACGAUGAUGUUCCUGAAUGAGUUUAAUACGCUCGAAUGGCCUGGAGAUCAGUUUGCGAGCCCAAGUAAGUACCUUCAGAAGCUGAGGGAGAUACAGUCAUAUCCUGGCAAUCGCGCGAACAUGGCGAUAGGGCUCGAGAGCCACUUCGGCGUACCGAACAUUCCUUUUGUGAGAUCGGCUCUUGAUGUUCUUGCAAAUGCAAAGGUGCCCAUUUGGCUUACGGAGGUGGAUGCUGCAAACGACACAGAUCAGGUAUAUCUGGACACGUCCUUGAUGCACAUAAGUAGUUGUCGAAAAAAGAGUCAUAGUAAUCGAGGUCUCCGAAUAUUGGUUUUGUGAAUUUGAAUCCCCUUAACAAACAUGCUUAUUUCGGAAAAUUCAUCAGAAUUUAACAGUACUUUAACAACCGUACGUCAACCAAAAAUAAAAAGUUUAGGGACCUGUUUCCAAAUCACCUACAGUAGUGUCCAUAAAAUUUCGAGUUAAUUGCAUAUGGCUCCCUAUAAAGGCAUUAAAUAACUAAUAUAUUUUUACAAAACUUAAGUUAUCAAAUUCAUCCCUUUAAAAGUCUUUUCAUCUGUAAAUAUUAGGUAACCAUGAGUUUAAAAAGGUAAGCAUGCACGCUUUAGCAAAGAAGUAAAAAGAUAUUUUUAUCUCUUAUAUAUAUAAUUUGUAUUUCAAUAUUAAGUUUCGCCAUCUUUCUCAUCCUCUUCUCUUUAUCUGUGGCAACGGCAAGACUUGCUGCAGUGGCCAUAUCGAAGGCGAAGACCUCGAUCGCUCCGCACGUGCCACGGCGAAGACGAGGAAAGUGAGGGAAAGAAAGAUAGGUUUUUAUAAAUAAAAAUUAUAAGAGUAAAAUAGUCAUUUUACACACUCACCGUUAAAAAACUAACAGUGAAUGAGACGACAGGGAUAUAUAUAUGAACGAACUAGAAUUUUUAGAGAAAUAUAUUUGCAAAUUAAAAAAUUUUCAAAGAAAUAAAUUUAGUAACUUAAUUUCGUAAAAAUAUUUUUGCUAUUAGAUAUUUUUACAGGAAUCUGCAUGAAAUUAACCCUAAAAUAUUUACCUAAGAACUGGUAAUACUUCAAAGUUGUGAUUGAUAUUAUACAAAUUUCCACAAUGAAAUUCCGAUGCAGCCAACAUAUUUGGAAGCAAUCUUGAGAGAAGCUUACGCUCACCCGGCCGUCCAAGGGAUCGUAAUGUGGACGGGCUGGCGUCCAGGACCGUGCGAGAAGAUGUGCCUGACGGACUCCAACUUCAAGAACACCCCCGCCGGCAAUGUUGUCGACAAGCUAAUUGCUGAGUGGAAGACUGGACGAGCAGUAGGCUCGACAGAUAAAAACGGCUACUUUGAAACCCAACUCUUCCACGGAGACUAUGACAUUCUCCUCAGCCAUCCAUCCGUGAACUCCUCACUGCACAGUUUGAAAGUGGAUUCUGGAACUCGGUAUGAAUUUAUGAUCCGGAUCCAAGAAUUAAGCAUUUGAGCUUCACAAUUCCAGACAGUACUGCUUGCUGAUUGUACUCUGCUUAAUUAAGCUCUCUCUCUCUCUAUAUAUAUAUUCUCAUUUCGCAUGAUUUGUUUCCUAUUUUACAAUGGAAAGUAAUGAAGAAAAUACAUGGCAAAACCUACUGUUGAAUGUAUAUAAUUUUAAAACGCUAUUCUCUGGGAGGAGUCCGGCGUAGCAUCGAGCACCUGAUGCUUUCAAAAUUUUCACCGUUAGAUUUACCUCUUUGGCCAUUUCUAUCGUUAGAUCAUACGAUUUAACCAAUCAUUCACUCAACCAAAAUAGACUACUAUCAGCCAAGGGAGCCAAAAAUCAAAUAGCACCAAUGCUUUGGUGCUAUUAAAAGCAUUUCAGCCCAAUUCAUAUGGUAGUUUAAAUUUUUAGCAAACAAUAAUAAUUUUGCAUAGUAUCAGAGCAGAGGAUUCUAUUAGUUUCAUUUAGUUUUCUCCAAUUUAAUUGAAGUCCACAUUUUAUGCGUAUUAAAAAGCCUCAAGCCUAAAUUUGAAAGAAAGUGUUGAAUAUAAAAUAUUAAAACACCGAUUUCCAGACGGUUUAAAUUUUCAGAGAAUGAUAGUUAUUUCACACCUAAACUUACAGUAGACGAACGUCCCGAGCAACUUAUACGCUGAUUUAACGGCAAAACACAAUCUCGCAUUCCAUCUCCACCGGAUUUCAUUAGGUCAAUGUGGAAUCUUAAAAAUAGAUCUUUUAUCUCUCUGAUUGUGUUGUCACCCCUUGACCCAACCCGUCUCAAUAUCUCUAUUAUGUACAGUAACUUGCGCGUGGGGCAUCAGACAACAUUAAUUGGUGAUUGUUCAAAGAGCAGAUUUAGAAAAGUAAAGAAUUCUUGGUAGAAAAUUUGACUCAUAUUUUGUUCGCAAAAGUAAUUCGUUUGCUAGUUCUGAUCAUAAGUUUAAUACAAGCACAUAUAUAUAUGAAUAAAUUAAACAUAUUUUGUUUUAGAAAUCAUAUUCUGUUUGUGUGGAUAUGGAAUUAUGGAUCCACUUUUCGCAAAUAUUUUUUAUAUCUAUAAUUCUAUCCAAAACAUAAUACCAAGUAUAUAUAUAUAUAUAUUUUUUUUUCUUAUUUUUAAUUCCUUCACUUCGCAUGAUAGAUUGGUAUGAUACAGGCAUCUAAAAAGAAUGGAAAAUAUAUUAUGCGUAUUCGGAUAGAAAUUUUCAACCAUCUUUGUAUAUACAAAAGUAUCUGAAUAAGCAUCGAAUCCGAUUAAAUGACUAAUAAAAAAUUGUAAAUAUCUGGUAAAACUUAGAUUUUGAAAACAUAUAGUUUUGGGCCCAUUUUGCUUGUGAGGACAAGUCUCAACGUGAGACUGUUUCAUCCACCACUAUCACUUGAACAGUGCGAAUCUCAAAGCAGUAUGAACGAUAAGAUAGAUAAAAUAGUUUUAAGUUAGGACUGUUCCCACCAAAUUCUUUUCUUUCCUUUUUGUUCCAUUUUCAUCUCUAGUGGAGUGCUCACACUUAAUAUUGUAAGACAUAUAUNCUUUUUGUUGAAAUAUAUAUAUAUAUAUAUAUAUAUAUAUAUAUAUAUAUAUAUAUUUCAAAAUAUUAUCUGAGCAAAAUCAAUUAACUUUUGCCUAAUCUAUCACGAUCAUAUUUCCUGAUAAUCUAUUCAAGAGACAAAUUUAAUUUUAGGGUACUGAAGAUCCAUCUCUUAAAUAAGCUUAGGUCACAUAAAAUUCAGAUGAGCGAGAGUUAGAGAGAGAGUGCCUGUUCGGCCUAGAUGUUGGAGAAGUAAUUUCUAUAAAAUUGAUUUUGAUUGGAAAAAUUAAUUUUGGUUUAAAACUUAAUUAAGAAUGUUUGACUGAAUUUAGAUGGAAAACAAUUUUUCUGAAUUAAUUAAUUUUAUAAAGCUAUUUGCAAAAAAAAUUUACUAUUUACAAAUAAUAUUUUUUUUGGUUAAAUUUUAUUUUAAACUAAUUUAACACUUGAAUUUAAAUCUAAAUUUUAAAUUUUAAAUUUGAAAAAAAAAUUAAAUUUUGAUAUUUUAAUUUAAAAUAUUAAUUUGAAAUUUAAAAAUUUAAAGUUUAUAGUNGCAAAAAAAAUUUACUAUUUACAAAUAAUAUUUUUUUUGGUUAAAUUUUAUUUUAAACUAAUUUAACACUUGAAUUUAAAUCUAAAUUUUAAAUUUUAAAUUUGAAAAAAAAAUUAAAUUUUGAUAUUUUAAUUUAAAAUAUUAAUUUGAAAUUUAAAAAUUUAAAGUUUAUAGUUUUAAAUCUAAAUUUAAAUUUUAAGUUCCAAAUGAAAAUUGAAAAUUUCAAAUUUCAAUCUAAAUUUGAAAAUUUGAAAUUUAAAAUUUAUAAUAAAAUUUCAAAAACAAAAUUUUAAAAAAAACUUAAAUAUUGAAUUUUAAAAUUUUAAUUUUUUAAUUUGAAAAAUAAGACUUAUGAUUGGAAAUUUAAAGUUUUAAGAUUUUAAAUUUCAAAACAAAAAUUUUAAAUUUUAAAUUUUAAAUUUUAAACUUAAAUAUUAUCUAAAAUUUAAAAUUUUGAAAUUUAAAAUUUAAAAUUUAAAAUUUAAAAUUUAAAUUUUAAAAUUUGAGAUUUGAAAUUUGAAAUUUAAUAUCAAAAUUUAAAAUUUAAUAUUUAAUAUUUAAAAUUUUGAAAUUUGAAAUUCAAACAUAAAAUUUAAAAUUUAAGAGUGAAAUUGAAUUUAAAUUUACAAUUUAAAUCAAAAACCAAUAUUAAAUUUUAAAAUUUGAUCCCAAAAUCAUAGACAGAUUUUUAAAAAUAGGUUUUAGCUGCUUUUCAGAAAACUGAUUCUAGAAAUUAGAAACCAAAUUUGAAACAAUAAUAUCAAAUGCUCUAUUAAAAUAAUUAAAUUUUUGUUCUAAAAUUACUUUUUAAAAUCAAGGCCAAACCUCCAAAGAGAGAGAGAGAGAGAGAGAGAGAAAGAGAGAGAGAGAAUAUUUGAUUACACGUAAAUACGUACGACAGGCAUGCAUGCAUGGUGUGUAUAGAAAAGGCUAUAUAUGACUCGAAUGGGGCCGUCAAAAGAAAGUAUAUAUAUAUAACAACUUUUUCAUUAAAACCCCUACGACAACAUUCCGGCCCAGUAAACAGAAACUUCAAAUUUUAGUUUUCUUUUUUUUCUGGAAUUUUGAAACUAGAGUUGCUUUGUAAAUUAAUUUAGCAAAUUAAGAUCCAAACCUUUUCUAAAUAGUUGGCUAAGAAACUAUUCUAAAAAGCUAUUUAAAUGAGCAAUAAAGUUCUUGUUCAUGUGGAGUGCGCAUUCAAAAGCCGUGCUACUUAAUUAACUGUGUGUUGUCGUUUCCUGUGUGAUUUUCUCCUCUUGUGUCAUUUUCGUUUUCUUUCCUACCUGUGUACUGCCACUCCUUCGCGGUAUUAGCCAACUAGGGACGAAUUUUGUUCUUUACUCCCUUCGGCCUGCUGCCCCUUCGUCGAUGUAUCUUCUCUAAAAUAGGAUACAUCCCUGUUUAAUCAAAAAAAAAAGAAAAAAGCACGUAACUUUAAACUUUGGAAGGUCAAAAAUAAUCCAAAAAUAGUUCCAAUCUUUUCUUGUAUAAUAAUACUAUAAAAUUUUAAUGACAACUGCAAUAUGAGAAGCAUAUAUAUAAUAUUAUAAUCAUUUAUUCUUCCCUCCAAUUCCAUUAUUUGUGUCCACGGCUGCAUAUUAUUAUACAUCAAGCUAUUACAAAGAUGCCAAGAAAACACACAUAAGUAGACACUUGCCCUCGACAACACCCAACAGAGGCUAUACUUGGAAUUGUAGAGAUAUUGCAUUGCAUACAGUAUAGAGCCUCCAUUUGGGAUUGCAGAGAUUAUGUUACGUGCGGUGAAAAAAUACGAUGAAAAAUUAUUCAGCUUGUUUCCAUACAUAAUAUCACAUUGCGCAUAUCGUGAUCAGUUAGUUCCGAUAUUUUUUGUGCAGUACCAUCAGAAAAUGAAAAAGCAUGUUUCCAUAUAUUUUCACUCCGCUGGAUACACUUUGCGUAACAACGUUAAAUGAGCCUAAAUACCAAACGAGUUUAGACUCUAGAUUCUGGAGGCAGGAAGUACUAUAAUUUUUUUUAUCAUGAUUCAUGAGCUUGAGGUUAAAUUGUCAGUUAAUUAAUUAAUCCUCAAAAAAAAAUAAUUAAUACCUGUUUAGGGAAAUAAAAAGAUAAGAGGUACAUUAAAGCACAUUAAGUACCAAAAUCUCUCCUUAACAAGAUUCUCAAAAAGAAAAAGAAAAACAAAUCGUAACUUAUAAAUUGCUGGAUUAUAAAUCCCUUUGGUGGCUGUAUCCGGUCACAUAACAAAAUAGGCAAAUUGCAAGCUAAUUACUAUAUUAGUUCAUAGUAUAUUUCCACAUAUAUAUGGUGAGUAAUAUAUAUAUGGAACCAAAACGUAUGAAAUUAUCUUGUUUCCAAAUGUUUUUCGAAAUUGGAUCUUCUUUCCAAUUAAGUUGUGAUGGAAAAAUAUACACAUCCUAAUAUCUAACAAAAAUUUGCCAUUUAUAUAUAUGUAUAUAUAUGUUGCAUGUGUACGUUCCUAUUUCCACAUUGGCCCUUACAACUUGUUUUCAUGAGUUUUUCUCUUCCUUGAAUCUCUCUCUCAGCAAGAGAAAUGAAGGCUUUCGUGGUGAAAGUGGUGCUUUUCUUGUUAUUUUGCGCUCUUUUGAAAGGUGUAAACUCUAUCUUAUGAUUUAUAUAUAUAUUUUGCAUUCACAAUAUUAUAUACUAUUUCAUAUAAAAGAUUAGAAAAGAUAAGGCCUAUGCAUGAAAUGUGAAAUUUGCUAUAGCAGAUUCUGCCAAUUGAGUUAAACUAUACAUGUUAGUUUGAAGUAACAAAUGGAAUUUCUCUUGAUAUAUGAUUGAGUUAAAGAUAGAGUAACCUCUUAUUUACAGUGUGUUAUGGGAGAAAAAUGCAACUUGCGCAUCUAUUAUUAAGAUAUGUAUUUUACAAUCUUUUAUUUUAGGGUUUAGAUAGCUUCUCAUCGAUUUCUAGUAUUAAAAGAAGGUAGUAAUAAAAUUAAUGUGAAAAAAUGGCACUUGGACGGUUCUAAUGUAAGAUAUGCAUUCGAAAAAUGAAUGCGUGCGUACAUUUGCUUGGUCUUAGAAAGUGUACUAAAGUUACUACUUGGAUUUUUUUUUUUUUUUUUGAGAGAUAGAUAGCACGUUAUCCGCUUUGUUUUAUUUCGAAAUAAAUUUAGCUAGAAAUGUGAAUCAACUUGGAUUCCAACUUAAAAUUUUGGAUACCAACCACCAAGCCUUUUGCCACUUGCUCUAGGGACUGUCGGUACUACUUGGAUAUAUUAUAAUUACUUUCUUUUUUAUCUAUUUUGCUUGUCCAGGAUGGGUGGUGCAAUCGUUAUCUUAUGAUUAUUCAGCAAGCAUCGAGGCAAGUGUUUUUGAGAAACUCUCUCUCUCUCUCUCUCUCUCUCUCACAGAGGGUUGUGAGUGCUCAGCACUUCUUUUAUAAUUUUUUGGGAAAACUUCAAAAACCCCCCAUGUGGUUUCGUGCAUUCUCACUUUGCUACCCUGUGGUUUAAAACGUAUCAAUUUACCCCCCUGUGGUUUCAUUUUUAUCUUUUCGGAAGCUUUUUCGUUAAUAUUUCGUUAAAUUAUAUACAAAAAACUUCAGAUAACUAUCUAUAUUUAUCGAAUAGUCACUUUAGUAUCCUUUAAUUUUAACUUUGUCACUGAUUUUAAAAAAAAAUAAAUAAAAUUGAUAAUAAAAAGAUAAAAACGAAACCACGGGGGGGCAAAUUGAUACGUUUUAAACCACAGGGUAGCAAAGUGAGAAUGCACGAAACCACAGGGGGGGUUUUUGAAGUUUUCCCUAAUUUUUUUUCCUUUUCUUGUGCUAGUAUUAUUUUUUUUGUUUUUUUAGAAAGAAAGAUAAUAUGCUAUCCAUUUUAUAUAUUCUUCUUUUUUAAAAUAAAUGUAGCUAAAAAUAUAAAGCAAUUGGGAUUUAAACUUAAAAUCUUAAAUAUUAAUUAUCAAGUCUUUUGCCGCUUGCGUCAGAUAAGCUAGUUUUUGUAUUACUUUUGUUAUUGUUGUUUUCACCGUAGAUUCUUGUGCUACUAUUGUUGUUGUUGGAGUGAGGAAUACACAUUUUGGCUCUAAAAGCAGCACUUAGUUAACUUAAUCAUGAAUAGUGAAUAGCUAAUUUUAUGAUAUUACAUUAUCUUUCUGAUUAACAAAUGCAAUGUUAAUUGAAGAAGCAACGCUUAGUCAAAGUCUGCAAUUUUUUAUGAACUGCAAAACAAAGUCAAGCCAAACCAGGCAUUUUUCUUUUAACUAAUUAUUCAGUUUCCAGUACAUAUUAGUUUAAUUAUAAGCUCUGCUUGGUCAACAUAUAUAUUUGAGCAAAACCAAAACGAAAAUCAAUUAUCUUAAACUGACCGCUCAUCCCUACAUGAGUAGCAAAAAGUUUAAUGUGAUAUAUGAAACCUUAAUUUACAUUUUCAAUAUAGCGCAUGCAUUUCUAAACAGGCUACUUUUUCCGCCAAAAAAAAAAAAAAAAACCUAUCUUCGACUCCAUAUACAGAUUUGCAAGCACGCGUGUGCGUAUGAAAGCGCACUUCUGUGAAUUCCAUUAACAUUUAAUAUAAUUUAUUCCCUUGGAAUUUGUUAUUUCCCUGGACAUUGAAUUUUUAUGAUCUCCAUUGAUAAAUGUCAAGCCUAAGUACAUUCCUAUCUCCAUAGUUUGCAUCAACUCCAAAUUAUCAUUACACAAUUAAGAAGCACUACAGCAUUUUGGCAUAAUUAAGUUGUACCCCUCACAUUCUAUACAGGACGAUACCAAACUACCAUCUUCCACACUAACAACUCUUUUUACCAUACCCAGUGCUUAGCUGAGCCACUGAAACCGCAGUAUGGCGGGGGGAUCAUCCGCAAUCCCGAGUUUAACGCCGGCCUGAGAGGAUGGUCAAACUUCGGCUUUUCAACAGAUGCUACGAGGGCCUCCGCAAGCGGCAACAGAUUUGCAAUUGUCCACAGCAGAAGAAAACCUUAUCAGAGUGUCUCCCAGAAAGUAUACCUGCACAAAGAGAAACUCUACACUCUCUCUGGUGAUACUUAAACGACCACUCAAUUUCAUUUGGGAGUGUUAUGUAUUUGAGCUCACAUUUGCCGUGAUGCUGUAUUUGCGUUGUGCUCUAGCUUGGGUACAGAUAAACAAAGGAAAUGCAGUCGUCGGAGCUGUAUUUAAGACGACCAGCGAUGGAUUUGUUCACGCCGGCUUGGUCGAAGCCAAAUCAGGUUGCUGGUCCAUGCUGAAAGGAGGGCUCACUGUAAAGACUGCAGGACCAGCAGAACUAUAUUUCGAGGUGAGCAAUCUUUAGAUUAAGGGAAAACUUCACAAAGCGCCUCAACAGAAUAGCGUAUUUGUGCUCUGCUACAGUAUGGUUCAAAGUGAAGCAUUUUUUUCCCCGGUUUUUGCUAUAGUUUUCCAUAAGGACCCAUCCCAUCAUUAAAGGUUUUAACAAAGUGUAAUUUUUAAUGCACCAUAGAUGAUAAAGUGCUACAUGCAUGAUAAAGUAGCAUUAGGUCCCUAGGCAACAGCUACACUUUGAACUACAUGGUAGCAAACUGUAACUGAGCUAUAGCAUAGCGCGCUUUGUGAAGUUUUCCCCUAUAUUAACAAAGUAUUAAAAAGAAAAAAGAAGAAAAAUAGCAAGCAACUGCAAUUUCAGCUGAUCAAGUUUUCCACAGAAACAAAACAUUUUUUGUGAAAACAACUACUAAUGAAUAGAUGUCGUCUACACUACUGCAGAGCAAAAACACAACAGUAGACAUAUGGGUGGACAGUGUCUCCUUGCAACCAUUUACCGAAGAGCAGUGGAGAGCUCACCAAGAAGAGAGCAUCAAUAAGGUAAUUUCUACGGCCUGAAACAACUUAAUAAACGCAUUAACAUUAACAAAGAAGUAAUUGUCAUGAAUAAAGCAGGUGCAUUGAAAUUGAGCAGGUCUAACUAUAAAGAACAAUAAUCAGGUUCAAUGUACCUGCUUGUUAGUAACAAUUCCUGCUCGAUUAAUAUCAUUUUGCCAACACAAUAACCAUAUCCAACCCUUCUAAAUCUUUUCUUUCAAUGCAAAUGAAAACAAGUAAAAUAAAAAAACUCAAAAUAACACAUGAAGGUUCGCAAGAAGACGGUGAGAUUUCAAGCCAUAGAUGCCAAAGGAAACACCAUACCUGGAGCAAACAUCUCGAUCCAACAAACCAGAUCGGGAUUUCCCUUCGGCUCAUCUACCAAUGAGAACAUCAUCAACAAUGCAGCAUACCAGAACUACUUCGCCUCUCGCUUCACUGUAACCACAUUCGAGAAUGAGAUGAAGUGGUAUGACACAGAGUACAUGCCAGGUAAAGAGGACUACUCUAAAGCCGAUGCCAUGCUCGCCUUCACUAAAAAACACAACAUUCUGGUCAGAGCGCACAACAUCUUCUGGGAUGACCCAAAAUACCAAAUGGGAUGGGUGAACUCUCUCAACAAAACACAGCUCUGGAGCGCCACGUGGAAUAGAAUCAACUCAAUUAUGUCGAGAUACAAAGGCCAGGUCAUUGCUUGGGAUGUAGUAAAUGAGAACCUCCAUUUCUCAUACUUUGAAGAUAAACUCGGAACAGAUGCAUCAAAGGUUUUUUACCAAGAAGCUCAUAAGCUCGAUGCCAAUACAAUGAUGUUCUUGAAUGAGUAUAAUACACUUGAGGUGCCUCAAGAUUGGGUUGCGAGCCCAAGUAACUACCUUCAGAAGCUAAGGGAGAUACAGUCAUAUCCUGGCAAUAGUGCGAACAUGGCGAUAGGGCUGGAGAGCCACUUCGGCGUACCGGAUAUUCCUUUUAUGAGAUCGGCUCUUGAUGUUCUUGCAAAUGCAAAGGUGCCCAUUUGGCUUACAGAGGUGGAUUGCGCAAACGAUACAAAUCAGGUAUGCGCAUAAGUAGUUGCCGAAAAAGAGUCAUUAGUAUCAAUGUAUCUGAAUAUUUGUUUUGUGAAUUUGAAUCACCUUAACAAACAAGUUUAUUUCAGAAAAUUCAUCAGAAUUUUAACAGUUUUAAGAACCGCCAACCACAAAUAAGAAGUUAGGACCAGUUUCCAAAUCAUCUAUAGUAGAGUGACCAUAAAAUUUUUGCCUGAGAAAUGGUAAGACUUCAAAUUUGUUAUUGAUAUUAUACAAAACUCCAUAAUGAAACUCAAUACAGCCAAAAUAUUUGGAAGAAAUCUUGAGAGAAGCUUACGCUCACCCGGCUGUCCAAGGGAUCGUAAUGUGGACGGGCUGGCAUCCAGGACCGUGUGACAAGAUGUGCUUGACGGACUCCAACUUCAAGAACACGCCCGCUGGAAAUGUAGUUGACAAGCUAAUUGCUGAGUGGAAGACUAGACAAGCAGUAGGCUCGACAGAUAAAAAUGGUUACUUUGAAACCCAACUCUUCCAUGGAGACUAUGACAUUAUCAUCAGCCAUCCAUCUGUGAAUUCCUCAUUGCAGAGCUUGAAAGUGGAUUCUGGAACUCGGUAUGAAUAUAUGAUCCAGAUCCAAGAAAUAAGCAUUUAAGCUUCACAGCUCCAGAGACUGCUGACUGUACUGUGCUUAAGCCCUUCUAUUCUCAUUUGUCAUAAUUUGUUUCCUAUUCUGCAAUAGAAAGUAAUAAAGAAAAUAUACGGCAAAACUUACUGUUGAAUGUAUAAUUUUAAAGCCAUGUUCUCUAGUAGUUUAAGAUUUUAUUGAACGAUAAUUAUUUCACGUCGUAUCAGAGGAGGUUCUGUUAGUCUCAUUUAGUUUCUUCCAAUUUAAUUUAAGUCCACAACUUGUGUGUAUUAAAAAGCCUCAGGCCCAAAUUUGAGGAGAAGUUGAAUAUAGAAUAUUAAAACACCGGUUCCCAAGUAGUUUAAACUUUCAGAGAAUAACAGUUGUUUCACACCUACAUUUCUCCAUUGAAUUUCAAUACAUAUAAAGGAUCAUGAGAUCCUUAAUGUGAUUUUGCGUAUGUUACACAAAUAGUGAAAUCAAAUAAUUAUUGCCAUAAAUCACAAGCUUGGUAAAGAAGCAAGGGAGAAACUAGAGAAGUACUACGAAAUAAGCUCCAAAUUUAAUGACUAAAGAAAAGAUAUUGGAUUAGAAGUGGAUGGCACUUCAAUGAGGAAGAGUUUCUGGUACCACCAAAACUUGAACCUUUCAACAAGCCAAUUCCAUGCUUUCUAUGAGUUCCACAUUAUGAGAUUCUACAUUAUAACACCCUCAAAUAAGCCACCUGAUUUCCAAAGUAUUCAUGAAACGUCAUUGCUCCAGCAAUUAGAAUCAACUUCAUCCUAACAUGCAAAGCGAAUCGACUUAUACAUGUUCACUAAGCCCUCAUGCUUUAAACUUGUGAUCAAUGAAAAGUAGUAUUUAUCUUUCAUCUGUGCCAUUAGUCAGCAUCAUUCUCAUGUAUGACACUAUUUUCAGUAGAAGUAGAGUUUCCUCCUAAAUUAAGUUGAUGAACAGGACUCAACAAAUUUGUAAUGGGAAGAUGUACCUUCUUGAGGAAAAAAUUCACCAAGAAAAAUAAGGUUGACCAUUUAAUUCAUAAUUGAGUAUCAGAAGAUAUCUUUUGCAUAUUAAUCCAACUAAAAUACAAAAUAAAUGAAGCAAGCAAGCAGGAAUAAGAAAGAAUAAAUUUCAAUAAGCAAAGGUGAGGUGCAACACUUCUAUCCAACCUUACAUAAGGAAUGAACAUGUAAUUCAAAGACAAAGAUAUGCCAGAGGUACAACAAGUUACCGCAGAAAAUCCAUGCAGCUGUGCUGAACAACUGUACAAAACUAGAUAUGACUUAUUUGAUUGCUCGACCAACUGUGAGACAAGUAUGUCAAGAAUAAAUACCCCAAAAUUUCUCAUGCGUUUCAAGCAAAAUUGCUCAAAGGUGUGACACAUCUGCAAAUGCUAAACAACAAUGAGCAGAUUUGAUAAACCAUCUAUCAACAAGUCAGAGCCCAAAAGCAUUUGACAGCUGGUAGAUUUAGUUGUUCCGCAAUCCACUAUCUUGAUGCACAAACUCCAUCAAAAACCACCAGAGUUCAAAUCAUUCUGUCACAAAAAUGGACUGUAAACCAGAAGCAUAUAACUUCUUGAGAAUACAAUAUCUGAAAAUGAAUUGAAGAGCCAUCAGCAAAUUAAACAAUCCUAUGUUAUAGAGAUUGCUAAGUAUAAGCAAAAAGGAAGGUUCAAAUUUAGAAACAAGAAGUUGAUCAAAAUCAAUAAGUUGAACCAGGACACUGCUGUAGUUUAACACUAUAGAGACAAUUUCACCGUCUGUGCUACAGUUUACGUUUGCAGAAUGAAUAUGUACCCAGCAGACCAUCAGUUUUAGAGAUGUAUAUUUGGAAGAAAUCAGUUUUUGAUAUGCUAAAAGUGUACACUACAUAGCAUACUGGUAAGCAGAUUUUCCUAUACAAGGAUAUGCAACAGCAUACAUUUAAGCAUUUUCUGCAAACACGAGAGAUCCCUACACUACUAUAUCUACACUAGUUUUAGUGCCCUAAUGCAGAACAAUUGCCAGCCCAAUCAGUAAACAUGAAGGUUUAUAAGAAGCUCCAUGUGAAAUAAUAACAAUUACAAGCGUCACAUAGAGAGCUAAUGACGAAAUUAUGUAACAUACAAGAAAGGAUAAAAGCAGACUCAUGCAAGAUAUAUAGGGGUACGCACCUCAAGUUGUACAUGAAUAUACUUCAUCUCAGCUCCUCUUGCAAUCGAGGUAUCUGAAAAUUUCACUAUUCACGAUUGAGAAGCCAUUUUCCUCAGAGUCCAUAGAACCAACCAAGGAGGAACAAGGUAUUGAAACAUUUCUAUCCAGGUCCUUUUGUCAUCCUUUUCUGCCUCUUGAUAAACCCAUCCAUCAAAGUAAUGUAUGCAGAACUAUUGAUAGGCAAACCCUUCUGCAUCAUUUCUUCCAGAACAAGUUUAGCUUCUUUGAAGUGUCCGCUACUGCAGAGCUCAUUAAUACGCUCCGUAUAGCUAGCAGAGAUGCCAUCUUUUGAAUCUACCUCAGCAUUUGUAUCUUUCACCCCUUCUUGAUCUCUUUCUGUUUCCGGAAAGACAAACUUUUCAGGUAAUUUUCCAGUUUCAACCAACUUUGUUAGCAUAUUCUGUGCUUCUUCUGACCUUCCAGCCUCAGAGAGAGCACACAAGACAACAUUAUAAGUAAAAGCAUCAGGAUGUAAUCCCUUCUCCUCCAUAUCAGCAAACAUACGCAAUGCAUCAUCAAUCUUUCCCUCUUUGCAUAAUCCUUUGAUGAUAGUAUUGUAGGUUAUAACAUCCACCUUCUUCCCUUUUGACACCCACGACUCAAAUAGCUUCAACGCCUUUUCGACCUUGCCACCAUUACAAAGCCCAUUCAUGAGAAUGUUGCAGGUAAUAACAUUGGGCUUGAAGGAAUUCUCCACCAUCUUGUUAUGAAACUGGAAAGCUUUCUCCAAGUCCCCUUCCCUACAAUACCCAUGAAUAAUAGUAUUAUACGUGGUCUCAUCAGGCACCAGCCCUCCAUCCAUAAGCUCAUUCAACUUCUGAAUCGCCUCCUCUGUCUUUCCCGUUUUGCAAAGCCCACUAAUUACCGAAUUGUAAGUCGAAAUCCCCGGCCUUAUCUUCCUCUCGUUCAUUUCUUCCCAAAGCUUCAUUGCCUCAUUAGGGUUCUCAUCCUUGAAGUACGCGGAAAUCACUGUCCCAUAACUAACCUCAUCAGGCACAAACCCUCUCUUCGGCGGGCUUCUUAGAAGCUCGCAAGCCUCAUCAAACCUUUUCUCCUUACAUAGGUUGAAGAGCACAACAUUGAGAGUGAAAGUAUCCAUCUUGAGACCUCUCCCUACCAUCUCAUCCAUCAAGCUGAAAGCUUUGCUCACAUUCCCUGCUUUCGAGUAUGCACUAAUCAAAGUAUUGUAGGUGAUGAGAUCAGGGGAGACCCCUUCCUCCUCCAUCUUCCUCAGAGAAUCAAAAGCUUCGUCCAAUUUCCCUUCCUUGCAGAGCCCUUUCACCAUGAUGUUGUGGGUGACCAAGUUGGGGCGAACCCCUCUCUCACACAUUUCGUCGAGCACCUUGGACGCGUCGCAGCUGCUCCGCCACUCGAAGCACGCAUCCAGCAGCGUGUUGUAGGUGACGACGUCGGGGGGCGCUGUACCGAGCUUCUCCAUCUCGCCCUUCAUGCGGAAGGCCUCCUCAAUGCGGCCCUCGCGGCAGAGCCCCGCGACGAACACGUUGUAGGUCCACACGUCGGGGACGAACCCCGACGUCGUCAUGAGGUCGAGCGCCCUGGUGGCCUCCUUCAGCCACCCGAGGCGGGAGUAGGCGGCGACGAGGGUGUUGUAGGUGGCGCGAUUGGGGGGGACGCCGCGGGCCUUCAUGUCGGCGAGGAGGGCGCGGGCCUCGCGUAGCAUGCCGCGGCGGCAGUACCCGUCGAGGAUGGUGUUGAAGGUGACGGCGUCGGGGGAGCAGCCGAAGCCGGCCAUGGCGGGGAGGAGGGCGAGGGCGUCGGCGAAGCGGCCGCGGGAGCAGUGGACCUUGGCGAGGAUGUUGAAGGUGCGGAUGGUGGGGGUGACGCCGAGAGCGAGCAUGUCGGCGUAGACGGCGAGCGGGGCGGCGGGGGAGGAUGCGGCGGCAGGGGAGCGGGCGAGGGCGGCGAGGAGGGUGUUGGAGGUGAGGAGCGAGGGGCGGAGGCGUCGACGGCGCAUGGAGUGGAAGAGCUGGGCGGCGAGGUGGGGGAGGCCGAGGGCGGCGUAGGCGGAGACCGCGAUGUCGAGGAGGGAUCGGGAGGGAGGGGAAUGGGGGUGGAGGAGGUGGCGGUGGAGGAGACGGCGGCGGUCGAGGGGGACGAAGGAGAGGAGGAGGGAGCGGGCGUCGGAGAAGCGGCGGAGGCGGAGGAGAGUGGGGAGGAGGUGGAGGAGGGAGGGGAGGGAGACGGAGGAGGGGUCGGAGGGGAGGCAGAGGAGGCGGAAGAAGCGGAGGAGCGGGGAGGGGUUGGAGAGGGAGGGGGAGGAGGCGGCGAGGGAGACGAUGGAAGGGAGGAGGGAGGGAGAGAGGGAGAGGCGGGGGAGGAAGGGGGAUAGCACCUGGUUCAGCGGCGGGGACGAAGGGGAUUGCGCCGCGAGCAGCGCCGAGGACACCGCGGCGACGAGCUCCGCCUCCUCCGGCGAUGGCGGCGCAGGAGAGGGAGAGGGAGAGGGAGAGGGAGUGGCCGCCAUUAAUGGGGGGACGGAGGAGCUAGGGUUAGGGUUAGGGUUAGGGUGCCGGGGAGGGAGGAGGGAGGAGAGCGGCGGCCAUGGAGGCGAGGAAGUAAAGAAGCGGGUGGGAGAGAAGCAGACGAGCGAGCUAAAGAGCUGUUAAGAACUUAAGGGGCCCGAAAGAGAUGGUCACUGUACAUUUCACUUACAAAUUCUAACAAUGUUAGCCCUCAAAAAAGUUUAUAGCUUCUACCAUAACCUCAAUUUAAAUUGUAAACUCGUAUGUGCAUAAUGUAAUUUAUUGGAAAUUUGGAAUCAAUAAGACCAUUUAUGUCUCUCAAACCAACUUAAAUGUGCAAACAAUUCCACCCCAAAAUGCUGUGGCAAAAGGGACGUAUAUAUUUGAUAAAACUUGACUUUCAGGUUCUGUUAAGUUUUCCUUCUUGUACAAGAAUCCUAACUUUAACAGAACCUGAAAGUCAAAAACAUGAUGAUCAUCAUUAUUAGAGCAAAACUUUUCACUUGCAGUAAAAAUUUGAUCUGAUUUAACUUAACGAACAUGUAAUUCGCAAUCAUUUCAACAAUAAAAUGACUUCUAUCAGCAAUUAAAUCUUCUGCCUGUUUCACUUGCUCACACUGAGGACUCAGAUUGGUACUGCAAAAGACCCUUAAUAGGAAGUUCCAGCCAACCACACGAAAAGCAAGAAAAUAAUCACACUAACUUGACAAAUAAUAUGGUUUUGUCUGCAGCUUUAAGCACACAAAAGGGCCAUCUCAUAGUAAUCAAACAUCAAUAAUGAGUGGAAGAGUGAUAACAGAUGAGCAGAGUUGAUAUACUUAGACAUUACGACGGCAGAAGCAAGGAUCUGCAGAAACUAUUUGAGGUACCUUUCCGAUUACUAACCAAAGGAAUAGACAUCUAAUUUUGAACAAAUAUAUUUGGAAACCGCCUUGAGAUGAAAAAGCACAUGUAACUUUUUAUGUUUCUAUUUCUACAAGCAUAAUUCGUGAGUUUCUUUGUCCUUUUUUUUUCAGGAAUAGUUUUACAUGACUGGAUAGCGAUCACUCAAAAUUGUGCACCGGGGAUGAUUGCCUGAGCUCGUAUGCUGCCUGGAAACAAUCUGCAGCUUGAUGCAGCGAUCCUUCCAUUUUUGAGAUGAUGCCGAGAUUCAACCAUGCCUCAUGAUUUGUGGGGUCCAGACGAAUGGCGUUCAUCAAGAAACUUCUCGCAAUCGGCAGGGAUUCACCUCCAAGCAUCCUUAGAAUUUCCGCCAUGGAAACCAUGCUCGGCACAAAGUUCGGUUGGAUUGAGAGUGCGACUGAGAAAGCAGCGAGUGCCUCUUCAUGCAUUGAUUGUGCUUCCAAUAGCAAGCCUGAAAAUAUCAAGCAUUAGAUAAGAGGGUGUGUGAGACGUGAUGACUGAGGACUCAGAAAAUUUGUGAUACUAAUAGCGAAGGAGAAUAGAACAUAGUAUAAUUUCCCACUGACUUUUGCAAAGGAGUUUCUGAGAAGUACGCAUGUAACAGAUAUUUACCUAUUACGGCAUGAUUAAGCCGCAAAGUUAUCAAACAGUGGCUACUCAAAAAUUGCUUCAUGUUAAAGGCUUUACCUUCAGCAACUAACUUCUACGAUACAGCCAUCAAUUGUGGUUAAUGUUCGGAGGUUUAAACCCAGUAGAGAAACAUAAAAGUACACCGAGACAAUAUACAAAUAGCAUAGCAUGAAAAAUUACAGAAACAAAACUGUCUUAUCCAGCCUUUAUAAGAAUCGUAGAGAAAAGAUGCAAUUACACAGAUUGUGAACAUUUACCAAGAAUAAAUGUACUCUACUUGCUAUAUAAUUAACUGAAUUUCAGAAGAGCUUAUGUUCAAUACAUUUGGAAGAUAUAGCUUCAUAGCUAAAACUAAAACCUGAAGCCCAAAAUUAGAGUAGCAAAAUGAUAGGAACUCUAACAUUCAUGCAUGUAAAUAUCUCCUCCAAAAGCGUGCAUACUUCUAUCCAUCAGAAAGUAGAAACAUCAUAUGAUUCUCAUUUAAUGCUUUCUUCGUUCUUCUUUACCUCUCAUAGCCAUGUCUUAGUGACACCUAUGAGUAUAGAAGAUCAAACAUUCCGUCAUUACUAAGGAUCCCACUGAAUAACUCGGCUUGUCAACUGAUGUAAAAAACUAUUUUCGAGUACUUCGUAGGCCUUUUAGAAAUCAGACACCAUAACAUUUCCUAGUUUCACCAUCUUCAAAAUAUUUUUCAUAUCGCAGAGCAUACCGAUCUAUUCACAACUAGCGAUCAAGAUAAUUUUUGAACUAUCCUCUUUCUAUUAUCAUAUUCUCUUUUGCUGGAAUCAUUUGAUUUAAACACCUUUUGCAUUUAAUACUGCAUUGGUCUGUAGACCUCCAAUCUUUUAGUUUGACAAGUUUUCGUCUCAACUUGUCAAUCAUUGCUACCAACCUUAUAGCAUUAGCUUAUUAACCAUUUUCCUGACCUCUUCUCCUGCAUAUUGUGCAAAGCAAUUUUACCAAAGGCAGUCUAUGCGAGCAAAUAUUCAAUCAUAUCAAGAAUUUGAGUGUAUAUCACCCCUUGUCUACUCAUAGAUAUGAAUGUUGCUCAAUCCAAACCGAAUUGCCAAACCAAAUCAAAGCAAUUUCGGGUGAUUCAGUUUGGUUUUAUUAGUAUGGGGGUCAGUUUUACAAAAUAAGAACCAAACAAAAGGCACACUGAAGCUAUAGUGCAUAUUAGUCGCCAGACAAUGAUCAAACAUUGCAGUACUAAGCCACUGCUAUCAUCAAAUAAAAGAUUUAGGCUAUAACUAAAAAGAUUAAUCAUAAUUAAAAAGUCAGAUAAUAGGUUGAACUUACUAGCCUGGGUGGAGUUUCUAUGCAAACCAAAUAAAGAAACCAACAGAGCGGAAUUACUUAGGUUCCGUUUGUUACAGUUCGUCCCUGCUAACCCACCUCCAUCCGGUUCUAUUAAAAAUGUUAAUAUAAAACUCUAUAAACCAAACCAAACUGGCCAACGCACAAUCCUAGCUGCUUCAUGAAGAUCCUAGGUGCAGGCCAUCCGAAUUUCGAUAGCAUGUUGGGUAUAUAAUCGUCUCUCUCAUGAGAAACACAUAAUACAUAAAUAUAAGCAAAAUAGGCACACAAGUAUGUUACCUAAGCACCCAGACAUUGUGGUUUGAUGCUGUGAAUAUUUCUCAUUUCUAUUUCGGAUAAACCAUUACCUCCUUAUUUGACAUAGUCAUUUCUUACAGUAGCUUACUUGAAACUAUAAUCUUGUUGAGUUUUGUCGUACUUAUCCAUCAUCCAAUCUAAAUUACGUCCAAAUGGACUAAAUAUUGACAAAAAAUGUGCGUGACACCUACCUGCCUAUCAAUUUUGAGAUUAUGAUGCAUUGCUUGCCCGCAUAGUGCAACCACCUGCAGAGCAUUGCUUUGAGUUACUCAUCCUACCUUAAUUUUGUUUGGGCUCUGUCAUUCCACCACUAACGCAUCUUUCCAAAUCAAGUAACCUUUUUACACCUAUAAGAGAAACGACCAUGCAAUAUCUAGAAUCUUUGUAAAAUCUUUGAUAAUAAAUACACAAUUUCAUAUCAAGCUAGGAUGUUGUGCCCUAAGUCGUUUUCGAUGAUGAGACUUUCGAAUCGACGAUUGGCUCAAUUAUACUUGAUCUAGAGUAAUAUAGAAAACAAGUUUUGUGAUUUUCCAAUAUAAUUUUCCUAGUGAUUUAAUAGGCUCAAAAUCAAUAGCUAAAAAUAAACAUCUCACAAAAAGUGAUGAUACACUACUAAAAUUUUAAAUCGGAGGUACUGAUCUCGCCGUAGAUAGUAUACAGAACUUUCUAUUAAAACUUCAUCUAAUUUAGAUAUUUCUACACUGUUAAAUUGAAAAAGGCUCACAUCAACCACUAAACUUGUUGAUUUUGAACCGGUCCAAUCGCUGGGCAAAUGAUAUUGAAAAAUUACAAAACUUAUUUGCUAGAUACUUCAAAUACUCUAGAUCAAGUUUAAUGGAACUAAUCAUCAAUUCAGAAGUUCCAUCAUCUAAAACGACUUACGAACACGGAGGCCUCCGUGCUCCUCAGAGCAUAGUAUACCGCCUCAUUUCAUAUCAUGGAAUGUGCAUAGUUGUCCUGAAGCAUAUAGAGAGAAGAUAAAUAAAAAAGGCAUAUGAAACGAUCAAAUGUAUAGUCCUUAUAAACAACAAUAAACAUAUCUCCAAAAAAUAGUAGAAACCUAAAUUGUGUCAGCAACGUCUAUUUUGCAUAAUAUUUACCUGUAAUGUGCCAUAUCUUGGGGAAGGAAGAAUUAAUAGACUUAGCUUUCUCUAAGCACUUUUUUGAAUCAGCCCAUGAGCCAAGCUUAGUGUAAAUAGAUGCCAAGUCCAGCCAUAUUUCCAUCUCUAAGUUUCUGCUCUCUUCAACCUGUCAAAAUAAUGCUUCAGUUAAAACAAGAAAUAUCGAGAUGCACUGAGAAACAUUAGCUUAUUUUCCAUUAUAGUUAAAAAGACAAGUAUACCUCAUACUUAGGGUGCCAUAUCUGAAGCUCUUUUUGCGCUUGAAUGAUGGCAAGCGAAAUCCUAUAAGUGUCUAUUGCACUCUUAGAUUGCCCUUGAGCAUCCUGAAGAAGUGCUUUUAGUCGGAAAAAGUUCAACUGACCUGCUUUUUCAGUCUCAUCUAUUGCAAGUUCGACUAUUGCUUCAGCUUCUUUUAAGUUCUGUUGUGCUGAUAUAACAAGAGCUAAUAGCUUCCAGCCAAUAACGGAGCUUCCAUCUACCAUAUCCAGAUAUUUGGUUGCAUUUUCUACUGCCGCAUUAAGGUUUCGUUGCAUUAAACUCUCCCUUCCUAGGCUAUAUAUUACCUCAGGGUCAUACUUUUCAAUUUUAGCAGCAUUGUUUAGCAACUUUAAUGCAUUAUCUCGUAACUUUAGCCUUUCGGAAUCAGAGAUAGAAGAUUUGGAACAACAUCCAUAACAAGCCCCAAGUAAGUGACUUGCAACACCAACUAAAUGUUUUUCUUGAUUCUUUACGGAGUCAAUCGCUUUGGUUGCAAAUUUUAUACCUUCAAGUGCGUAUAAUGGAACUUUGCAGCAUAACUUUGCUCCCAAAAGAAGUGAUGGAAUAUGAGGUUUGUGCUCUUUCUGACAAUGUCCGACAACUUUCUUUAAAAUGUUUAAUGCAUCCUCAUCCAUACCUGCAGCACUAUAACAAAGUGCAAGUAUAUACCAUCUCUCAGCUCUACUAUAAGUGCCUGGCAAUAGCUGUUCUACAUGACUCGCCAAGAGUUCAAAUUGUCCAGAUAAUGAAAGUGCAAAAGUUAGAUGGCUCAUGAUAUCAGGAUCCCAACUUAUUUCUUGAAACGCUAGCUUUCUCAUGAGUAUAAGCAACAGCAGAAUUGCCUCCUCCACGUUAUUGGAAGGAGUUAUAAAUCCCGAAACUUGCCGACAUUCUGCAGGUAGAGUUAUUUCACUGCCGCUAUAUAAUAAAAUAACAGCUAAGUCUUUUUGCAAGCUGGCCCACUUUGUAAAGUCUAAAUUCCAAGGUCUAAUAAGAGCUCUGCGAUAAGCUAGAACAGCUUCUUCAAGACAACCAGCCUGUAUCCAUAGAUUGGGAAGUAAUUCAAGAGCUUUGUGGAACAUUUCUAUCAGUUUGCACUCAUCUUCAAUGCCAUUGGGUACACCAUGAGGCCAUGCAGAUUCAACAAUGUCUAGAAUAAUUUUACACUCCACUGCAGCAUCUGCUAGCAAUAACAGAUGGAUCAAAUACAAACAUCAGGACAAGUAUGUGACAAUGCUCUUCAGAGGUAGUAUAACUUCGGAAUGCCAUCAAAUGAUUGACUGAUCAUACUUUUUCUAGGUAUUUGUCAAAAUACUAGCAAACUAACUAAUCAUGUCAAUUACAAGUGAAACAUUCAUAACAAAGACAAUUUUGACAAAUUGUUGCUGUAAGCAGCGAAAAUAAACACCUACUAAACAAAUAACAAGCAAUGUUCAGCAAUAGUGUUAAAAUUGAUAACAAAGUGUUUGAACAUUAAUAUAAGGCAUUGAUUAGGAAAAUGCAAGAGCAAAGAAGAAAAUUUUAUCCGUAAGUCAUACUCCAUUGUUCGAAACAUUCACCAUGCAACGAAGACCAAGUAAAUCAACCAGGUGGGUUUAACAGCAUUAACAAAUAUCAUAACACAUUCUCCAAAGGUACACAAGAAGCACCAUAUAGCAUCUGCGCCGUGCUUGUGCGCUUAAUUUCACCAACCAAGAUUUGAAAAUUUGACGCAACAGCACGAGAAACCAACACUAGCAGAUUAAAUCAAGUGAAAUUCCUACUGUCUAAACAAUGUUUAGUUAAAAAAAAUAAUCCUAGUGCCAAAUGUUAAGAAACAUUGCAACCAAAGAACACAAAAUUUCCGAACCUUUCACUCGACCGAGCCCUUCCAAGGACUUCGAUUUAAGCAAUAUCGCUUCAAGAAGCAAACUAACCGAAUGCAUUGACAUUAAACUCGACUGCAAAUCCCCCCCCUUGGCACGACCCUUACGCCUAAAUCUCUCUGAGAUAGCUUUAAUCAUCCUAGGCCUCAAACCUCGAAUAUCAAUACCCUCAAACACUUGCAAUGCUGCGUUAAAAUUUCCCCGCUGAUACUCCAACCGGCCCAAUAACGCCCUGGCUUCCUAUUGUACGAAAGUUUUCAUACAAAAUCAAUAAUAAGAAUUAAUGCCAACUUGCGCAAAAAAUUAGUUUAAGAGAAAAGGACCUCAUAAUUCAAUGAUAUGGUUUCUCUUAGCGCAGAUUCAACAUCGUCUACUUCGCUAUUAUCAUCAAACUUCGAUUCCCGAUCUCCAGUCCUCGACGACGAGAGGCAACUUACAGAGAAGUCCCUCGUCGCGAGGGACUCCGGCGACCGGGGUUUGUCCUCAAAUUGAAAAUGCUCUCCACUACAAGUGCACAACAUGGUUUACAGAUACAACUCUCUUCUUCUUUCCCCUGUAGCAUCAAGUAGUAAGCAGCAUUGGGUAUAUCUUGGUUUUCCAAAUUCUUUGGGUAUUUUCCUGAAAAAAUCCCAUUUUUAACAGAUCAAAGGAUCUGAACACAUUACUGGAUCAAUAACCUGAGCAGAAAUAAAGUUUCUAAAUUAGAAAUGAAACAUCUUAAUAUAUACCAACGUAAACCUAAUUGUAAAAAAAAAAAAAGUUUGAUAUAAAAGGAAUCAAAAAUAUUUCCAAUUAAUCUAGCAAAACAAACUAAAAAAAUAAAAAUAAAAGCCUAAAUCGAGCAUAUGAUCCAACAUUUCGAAGAACCCAAUUGAGAAAACCACAAGAAGAGGAAACCAAUGCAAAUCCACAUCUUAUGUACAAGUUUAAGUCCAAAAGCAAAACUAAUUGCUUAAUAUAAAAGGAAUCAAAAACAAUUCCAAUUACUCAAGCAAAAUAAAACAACAAAUUAAAAGCCUAAAUCGAGCAUAUAAUCCAACAUUUCGAAGUACCAAUUUGAGAAAACCACAAGAAACUUCGAGGAAACCAAUGUACACAACAUGUUUAGCCCCAUUUACAGAGUAUAAAUCGUGUAAACAACGAAAGAACACAAAACACACCAUUUUUCAUUUUUUUUAAAAAAACGGAGAGAACAAGAACCAGUUAUGGAAAUUCGCAAAUGUCCAAAAUAAAUUAAAAUUUUUUUUACCGUCGAAAGCAAUUUGACGAGGCAAUUUGACGAGACAACUUGACGAGACUAUGACAACGAAGUGACACAAAGAAGAACACAAAACACCAACAAAAGCUACGGGACAGAUAUUGACGAGCAGGAAAAAGAAAAAGAAAAAAAGUUACAGGCGAAACUCUUCUGUAGUAUUUCCUCUAGGAUUGAUCAAAUAAUUAAGGGAAAAGUUCAAAUACCCCACGUGGUUUCGUACUUUUUCAGUUUAAUACUUUACAAUUCCAAGCGUAUUAAGUUAAUAUUUUUUCGUUUUGCACUUUCUUAUUUUAAUAUUAUGUGAUUUCAAGUAUAUCAAAUUAGUACCCUAUGAUUUCGCACUUUCUCACUUUAGUACCUUGUGGUUUCAAGUGUAUUAAAUUAGUACCCUAUGGUUUCAUACUUUCUCACUUUAGUACCAUGUGGUUUAGUAUUUCGUUAAAUUAUAUGCUCCGAAAUGGAUAAUAAAAAGAGAAAAUUGAAACCACAGGAUACUAACUUGAUACAAAAAUAAAAUCACAGGAUACUUACUUGAUACACUUGAAACCACAGGAUACUAAAGUGAGAAAGUGCGAAACCACAUGGUACUAACUUGAUACACUAGAAACCACAGGAUACUAAAGUGAGACAGUGCGAAACCACAAGGGGGUAUUUGAAGUUUCCCCACUAAUUAAUUAAUGUAAAAUGAUUAAAUAGCUUUUUUUUUCGUAAACUUUAAAUAUCAUUUUUAUAAUUUCUUACUUUUUUUACUUUAAUAAUAUGUGAUUUAAAGUGUAUCACUUUCGUACUCUAUAAUUUUUUUUUUUUAAGAAAAACUUCAAAUACCACCCUUAUGGUUUCGUACUUUCUCACUUUAGUACCAUGUGGUUUAAAGUGUAUUAAUUUAGUGUUCUGUGAUUUUAUUUUUAAAGUGAAUAUUUAAAAAACGUAGGCGUGGUAUCUGAAGUUUUUUGUAUUUACUUUAACGAAAUAUUAACGAAGAAGCUGACGAAAAUAGAAAAAUAAAACCACAAAGCACUAAAUUGAUAUACUUUAAACCACAGGGUACUAAAGUGAGAAAGUACGAAACCACAGGGGUGGUAUUUGAAGUUUACCCUUCUCUUUUUGUUAUUCUCUCUCCACUAUAUUUUUUUAUUAAAUCAGUGAUAAAAUUAAAACUAAAGGGUACUAAAGUGAAUGUUCGAUAAACUAGAGGUGAGGUAUUUGAAAUGUUUUGUAUAUGAUUUAACGAAAAGUUAACGGGGAAGCUGACGAAAAGAAAGAAUAAAAUCACAAGGUACUAAAUUGAUACACUUUAAAUUAUGUGGUACAAAGUGAAAAAGUGCGAAACCACAUGGGUGGUAUUUGAAGUUAACCCUUUUUUUGUUACAAAUGUACCGAAUUUAUCUUAACUAUGAAUCAUUUUGACUCUGCUGUCCAACCUACUAAAAUUUUAAUUUUAUUGGAUAAUCUUUCAUUUUAUUUGAUUUGAGUCGGCUAAGAGCAGCUUGACUUCAAAAUUUAAAUAUAUUGUUUAUCUUUAUAUAUUUAAUUAGUAUAUUUUAUAUAAUUUUUACAAUUAUAAAUUCGUUAAAAUAAAUAAUUAACUUAAAUUUGAAAGUCAAAGUGUUGUUGACAAUCUCAAUUCAAAUAAAUUGAAUUGGAUAGUAAAAAUAAAAUUUUAGAAAAUUUAAAUAGCAAACUCAAAAUGAUCUAUAAUUUAGAUCAGUUUGGUAUGUUUAAUUUUUCUUUUUCUAAUACAAAUUCCUCUGUAUUUUUUGGGAAUUAAAUAAGUGGAGGUGGAUUGUUAGGGUUUUUUUUAUUUUUGGUAAAAAUAUAUGAAAAACCCCUCACUUAUAGACCAAUCUGAAAGAGAUUCAUAAACUUUUUUGUUUCAAAUUUUAUAAUUUUUUUGAAAGUUUAAAGAGGGGCGGUAGAAUAAUAAUACAUUAGAAUAUUUGCCACCGUUUAGUGCAAUUUAAACAAAAGUUUACUUGUUAGGAUAUUUCUAAAUAUUUUUGAAAAUUGAAGAAACAUUUGUGAUAUUAUAAUUAUUUUGUGGGGGUGAAAAGAGUAUAAGCCUGCAUAUAGUAAUUUUUUGGGAAAACUUCAAAUACCCCCAUGUGGUUUCAUUUUUUCUCACUUUAGUACCCUGGGUUUAAAGUGUAUCAAGUUUGUUCCAUGUGGUUUUGCACUUUUUCACUUUAGUACUCUUUGGUUUAAAGUGUAUCAAGUUAGUACCCUGUGGUUUCGCACUUUAUCACUUUAGUAUCCUGUGGUUUAAAAACCACAGGGUACUAACUUGAUACAAAAAUAAAAUCACAAGGUACUAACUUGAUGCAAAAAUAAAACCACAGAGUACUAACUUGAUACACUUUAAACCACAUAGUACUAAAGUGAUAAAGUGAUAAACUAUAGGGUACUAACUUGAUACACUUUAAACCACAGGGUACUAAAAUAAAAAAGUGCGAACCACAGGGGAGUGUUUUGAAGUUUUCCCUAAUUUUUUCUUAAUAUUUUUUUUGGCAUGAAAAGUUUUGUAUUUUAUUACAUUAUCAUAGGAUUUCUCUAAUUAGGACAUUAUGGGUGUACAAUGAGGGAGAAAUUAUUGCCUCCAUUGGAUGUACAACUACACCACUCCCUAAAUAUACAAUAGAAGAGAAUUUAAAAUUUAAAAUUAUUUUAUUAUUUUUUUAUAAUAUUUUUUUAAAAUUAUUUUUACAAAUUUUAAAAAGUUGAACAUUUUUUAUAUUACCUAAAAAGUAUUUAUUUCUAUAUUGUUGAUUUUAUUUCUGAGAUUACUAAUGUCUAGCUAAUAGGCUUUCAAAAUAUAUAAUUUACCUAAUUUUUAUAUGUAUAUCAGCUUAUAUUUUAAGUUUAAAUUAGGCCAUUUUGUAUUUAAAAAAAUAUUAGUUUUGUAUUUUUUGAAAUGUGGAUUAGUUUUUUUUUAUUUGUUUCAGAUUCAAUCUGAUUUUUUUGAUCGAAAUUCUCCUAUUUUCUCUCUACUUUCUCUCUUUCUCCUCCUACUUCCUCUCAGAGGACGAUGAUUAAGCUUGAUUCCUCGUUGCUGUGGCCGUUCUUGGUGUUCUCGGACAAGAUCAUCGUGGGAGGAACGGGGGUGGCACCGGUCGGAGCGUUGCUAGAGACAGAGUUUGCAGAGGAGGAGGCGACGAUCGCUGGUUGAGGAUACUACCAAAACAAGUUCGUGAGCGAGUUGAGCGUGACCACGGAAGCAGGAUGGCUAUGGUAGUGAGAAAGAACAUCAGGUGAGCGAUAUGUUGUUGCACUAUUUUAUUAAAAAUUGCACUAUUUGUAUUUAAUAAGAAAGUUGUAUUAUUUGAUACGUAAAAUAAACUAUAAAUUAAUACAACUUUUUUGUCAAAUAGUAUAAUAUAUGUUUAAAUAGUACAACAUUGCAUUGUUCAUCAAAUUUUUUUCUUUUACUACUGCCACCACCUUGCUGUCAUCGGCAAUGCUUGCGAACAAAUUUCGAAAGCAUUCUCGACUAGCGAUCGUCACCUUCCUUCUAAAUCACCUCGGUCUUCAUCUCCGAUGAAACUAUGAACAACCAUGACGACAAACUGGUCAAGUUUAUCAUCUUUCUUUCACUUGUGAGGCAGGAACGGUGACAGAUAAGAAACACAAGAUGAACAUGAAUUGUAUAGUAGUUUGCUUAGUUUAAUAAAGUAAUAGUAGUAAAAAAAUGUAUUAAUAUUUUAGAAAAGUUAAGUAGCUCAACAAAAAGGAAUUGAUAUGUAAUAAAUGAUGGUGCAUCAAAUAUAUACAUACACGGGGUGUAGGGACUACAUUUUCAUAAAAUUUGGACUAAUAAGGAGUUGGCACGUGCCCACUCCGGCCCACCCCUCUCUGAACACCACGAGGCGCACUCGACGGAGCAGUUAGUGGAGGUGGGAUGAGCUCUCGAGCAUGCAAAUGGAUCUGGGUUGGUGGAGCGCCUGCUCUUAUCCAUUUCGAAUGGGACGGUAAAUGAGAAUUAAAUAUAAAAAAAAUAUAAUUUGUUCUUAAUUCAUCUUGAUUCGUCAAGUAAAUCUAGUGAAAGGCGAAAGAUUUUUUUCUUCCUUCAAUCAGUUUUGACCCGUCAAAAAUUCUUCAAAAAUUCGCUUCUGUUCUAAUCCGUCCCGAAUGAGACGAUAAGUGAGAGCCAAAAAUAAAAAAUAAUUCGUCCCGAAUCUGCCUCGUCCCAAUAAAAAAUGAAGCAAAAGGUGAGAGAAUUCUCUCGCCCCAGGAUCCGUCCCGUUUGUAUCCCUACUCUCGAGGCUGCCAUCAUCAGCGACGUAGAUAUGUGAGGAGGGAGCAAAGGGGUAAAAGAUUUGAGAGUUCAAAACACACAAAUAUUUUCAUUAGUUUUUAAAAAACUCAAUGUAAAUCUUAAAAAAAAAAAUCGAUUUUUAUAAAAAUACAAAUUAAUAAAUUUUUUAAGCGGAAAAAGCCUUUAAAUUAUUAUGCAAUGUAAACAUACCCAAUGUGUAGUAAAAAAAAUUCUCAUGAAAUGGAGGGAAAUUAUACAUCAUUGUGUAGGGAUGUUGGAAUGAUUUCCAAGUCAAAGGCAUUCAAACUUGGUUUGACUAGUGAGUGGUUUCUUUAUGAGAGAAGGUGUAUGGUGAGACACUUUUUUCUUUUUUUUUUUAUUUUUUCUUUUUUUUUAAUUUCUUUCUCUUUUUAAAUUGAGGAAAGUGAUUAGACAUAUCAAUAUUUUUAAAACCUUUGUUCAAAACUGCUGCCCCUCACUUGGCUUUUGGGUUAUUUUAUGGAUAAACUUCAAAUAACCCCUUAUGGUUUCACAUUUUUUUCACUUUAGUACUUUAUGGAUUAAAGUGUACCAAGUUAGCUCCUAUGGUUUCGCACUUUCUCACUUUAGCAUUCUGUGAUUUAAAGUGUAUCAAGUUUAGAGAUGUCAACGGGUCGGAUUCGGGGCGGAUUUUUAAAAACCCGAACCCGAACCCGACUCCAAACCCGAGACCCGAACCCGAAUCCGAACCCGACGGAUUUUAAAAAUCCAUAUCCAAACCCGAACCCGACCAAAAAUCCGAAACCCGAACCCGAACCCGAACCCGAAAAUUUGAACCCGAAACAAUUAUUUCAUUUUUCAAUAUUUCAAAAUAUAUUAUAUUAAAUUUAAAAUUUUAAAAUACAAAUUCAAAUAUAACAUCAAAUUUUUAUAUAUAUAUUAUAUAUAAUACAAAAUAAAUUCGGAUUCGGGUCGGGUUCGGGUUCGGGUACUGUGGUUUCAUUUUUUUUUUUUAUCCAUUUUACUAAUUUUUUUUGUUAAAUUAGUGGCAAAGUUAAAAUUAAAUGGUACUAAAGUGAAUAUUUGAUAAAUCUAGGUAGGAUAUCUAAAAUUUUUUGUAUAUAAUUUAACAAAAUAUUAACGGAGGAAAAAAAAAAUCAGUGACAAAGUUAAAACUAAAAGGUACUAAAAUAAAUAUUCGAUAAACUUAGGUGGGAUACUAAAGUUUUUUGUAUAUAAUUUAAUGAAAUAUUAACAGAGGAGCCGAUGAAGAGAGAAAAAUGAAGCCACAUGAUACUAAAUUGAUAUGCUUUGAACCACAAGGUACUAAAGUGAGAAAGUACGAAACCACAUGAUACUAAAUUGAUACAUUUUAAAGCACAGGGUACUAAAGUAAAAAAAGACAAAAUUACAGAGAUGGUAUUUGAAGUUUUUUCUUAUUUUAUUAAGCACAUUCCAUAAAUUACCCAUCUAAAUUCUAUUGCAUAAGUUUCAAAAUUAAAUCUUUACAUAUUAAAUAUAUUUUAAAAUAUUGUUUAAAGGCUUAAUUAAAUUAUACUAUAUUAUACUUUAUAAAUUCUUUCCACUUCCAAAGCUUUACUUUUUGAAGCAUCAUUCCAAUUUUUUCUUUUUUCUUUUCAAUUCCUACACUAUAACUAAUAGAUUUAUAAUUUUAUAUAAAAUCUGUUAAAAAUAGCAAAGCAUAUAUUUCAUUCAUUUUGACAUAAAAUAAUAAAAUAUAUAAAAAUAACAAAAGAUAAUUAAAAAUAUAGAUUUAACGAGUAUAUCAUAGAGUUUUAUUUUAUUUUUUUUACUAUUUAACUAGUACCGCUUAAUAAAGUCUCUAAAUUUUAUCUAAAAUGUUAGAUUUGUUAAUAGUGGUAUAGAGAUUGUCGAGAAAAAAAAAUAAUUUAGAGAUAUGAGAAAAUAAAAUAGUAUCAGCUAGAAUUAAAAAUAACAAUAAAUCUAAAAUAUAUUGUAGAUACUGAUAAAAUAAAUAAAAAUAAUGCUAAAGUAUAGUGUAAUAAAAUAUAAUUAAGACUUGUUUAAAAAUAUACAACAUUUACCUAAACCAUGGUCCAUUUUGAAUCUACUAUCCAAUCUUUCAAAAUUUUAAUUUUUCUAUUCGAUGUUUCAAUUUAUUUGAGUUUACUCGAUCAACAGUAUACUUACUCCAAAUUUUAAAUACGUCAUUUAACUUUACAUUAUUAAUUAAUAUAUUUUAUGUAAUUCUAGUAACUAUAAAUUCUCAGAGUAAAUAAUCAGUCUAAAAUUUAAAUUCAUAUCAAAUAAAUUAAAGGAUUAUAUAAUAAAAAUAAAUUUUUUAAAAAUUGAAUAGUCGGUCAAGUUACAUAUAAUUUUACCAAACCAGUAAAAAAAAAUAAAGAAACAAAAUAUAGAAAAACUGACAGCUAGUUGGAAGCAUAGUUAGUUAAUUCGGAUUCGGCAAAAAUGUGGUACAGAUAUAAUACGCAUAAAAUUUAUUUUCUAAUUUUUAAAUUCGUUAAAAAUUCAGCUUAAAAAAUAGUUUCGGUAUAAAAUAUAAAAUAUAAGAUGAUCUAUAUUUAAACAUAAAAAUUAUAAGUUUUUUAUUUAGAUUUUUAAUAAUUUGUGAAUAAUUUAUGAAUUAUUCGGCUGGUCCAAAAAUUCGCGAAUAAUUUUCUUUAAAAAAAAAAAUUCGUAAAAGAAUCGUUUAAUUUGAUUUUUUAAUAAUUUACGAAUAAUUUACGAAUUAAUUAAUAAAAAUUAAAAAAGUAAGUCAAUUAUAUCUAUCUAUUUGUAAAAAAAUUUAUAAUAAAAAAAUUUAUAAACUAUAAUGAAACGUGUCAAUUAUUCAAAAAAAAUAUUUUUAUUAGUUCACAACAUCAUGUCAUGUCAGUAAUAUAUCGGCAUUCUAGAUUUUUUGGGGAAUCAGAGAGCCCGUUUAAAGGCGAGGCUGACGGGGCACUGUCACUGCCGAUAGCACAAAUUAAAAAUCUCGUCACCGAAAGAACGUGACCUUGCACGGCAUCCAAUUGAAAUCGAAAGUACGGAAUCGAAAUAAUUUUGUCGAAGCUAAAAAAGAACUUCCUCCUCCCACAGUCGGUCAAAAAAUUUUCUUCCUACCGGUCAGGCUUUUUCAGUUCAAGUAAUGUUAUAUCCACCUUUUCGCACCUAAAAACUAUGGACUACUACCAGUAGGGAUGUCAAUGGUUAUAGAUCCCAAAAUUUUAUCCGAAUUCGAAUCCGAAUAAAACGAAUAUAUCCGAUAAAUAUGAAUAUAAAAAAUAAAAAUCCGACGGAUAUGGAUUUUGAUUGUACCCGACCCGACCCAAACCGAACUCAAAUUUAUUUUGUAUUAUAUAUAAUAUAUAUAUAUAAAUUUGAUGUUAUAUUUGAAUUUGUAUUUUAAAAAUUUAAAUUUAAUAUAAUAUAUUUUGAAAUAUUGAAAAAAGAAAUAAUUGUUUCGGGUUCAAAUUUUCAGGUUCGGGUUCGGAUUCGGGUUUCGGAUUUUUGAUCGGGUUCGGGUUUGGAUAUGAAUUUUUAAAAUCCGUCCGGUUCGGGUCUCGGGUUUGGAGUCGGGUUCGGGUUCGGGUUUUUAAAAAUCCGCCCCGAAUCCGACCCGUUGACAUCUCUAACUACUAGGCUAAGGCUUCGUUUUGGAAUUGCGAAAAAAUUGCAUUACGUGCGGUGAGAAACGAUGAUGAAAAAAUACUCUGUUUAUUUUCGUACUUAAUAUUACGUUUCGCAUAUCGCGAUGAGUUGGUUGCGAUAUAUUUUCUGCGGUCCCACCGGAGAACGCAGAAGCAUAUAACUAUAUACUUUUUCCUCUACUCCAUUUUAUCUAAUAACGUUAGAUAGACCUCAAUACCAAACUAAGCUUAAAUUAUAUGUAAAUUAUUUCUACCCACAUCCGUUUUUUUUUUUUUUAAUUUCUAGUUUUUAAAAAUUUUUAUUUAAUUCCUUUAAAAAAUAAAAAAUAUUUACUGGAUGUAAGGCAAUAAUUGUAACAACGAAAUGAUCAAAUUAUCCUCUUUCUUUUCGUCUCCUUUCUAAUCUUGCUUCAUCCUUCUUCCUCUUCUUCGUCCUUCACUCCUUCUUUGGGCCCAGCUCCGACGUCGCUUGCUCCUACUUGCUCGACCUGCUCUCUCUGCUCCUCCUGCACUUCUGCCGCCCCUCCAUUUGGUGACGGUGGGGAUAAGGUCGGUGGGGUGGGUGCGGAUGGAGGGUGGGCGAGGGCAUGAAUGUAGCUGCGGAAUGAAGGGAUGGGCGAGGGCGAGGGCGAGGGUGAGGCGACGGAAGAGGGCGAGGCGACACGACCAAGGACGUCCUUAGUGAGAAGGGAGGCGGCGCCACUAUAAGGACAGAUAUAGGAUAUUUUGAGUAUAAAAAAAUAUAUAAUAAUAAAAAUAUAGAUAGGGAUCCGAAAUGAAUAUUUUUUUUAUUUUAUAAAAAGGUAAAAUAUAUGAAGAGAAAAAGUAAAAAAAUAAUAUUGGCAGAAAAAUUUUCUGUAAUUUAACCAAACUUCUAUUUUCACACUAAUGAUAUUCAUCAUUUUUAUAAUAUUUAAAAUCUAAAAAUUAUGUCUUCUAACUUCCAAAUGGGUGAGAGUACUCUAAUUUUCAGUGAUCAAGUAACAUUUAUAUUCUCUUUUGUUUGGCUUUUAUUAUGUCAGCGAAUCUAUGUACCACCACAUUUUUGGACUCUGCAUAUACACUAACAUAUUAAUAAUUCAUAAGAAGAGCAUUUGCUAAAGAGACUCAAAACAUGCUUUAUAUUGGAUAAAAUUCUAGUUGAAAGCUUUCCAACAAUGGCUAGUUAAAAAAUUCACUAGAUGCGUUCUAAUAUUCAAACUCAAAAAAAAAAAAAACAAUUCAAACUUCAAGAGAAAAACAAAACUAGCCCAUGGCUGUAAAUUAGGGGCCCUUUGUAGAGCUUCCCAAUAAAGUUUUUUUUUUUUUCCCUUCAUAUUCCAUACAACGGUUUUCUACAAAAUUUGAAGUGUUAGCAAAUCUAUACAACAACUUGAACAAUGUCAAUAUAGAAGGUUAUAGAAGGUCAUAGUGUGCGAAUUUUAAAAAAUUUAAGCCCCCUCCCCUAGUGAGAGUACCACCAUAAUUCCUGGAUACUUCAACCAAUCUGUGUCCACAAUUUUAUGAAUCGGUCAUGAGGCAUAAAUCAGUAAUAAAGUUUCACUUGGAAUUUGUCAAGCUAUUAGAUAACUGAUGAUAGUAACUAUGGAUUUUGAUACUCUUGUAAGUUGUCAAUCCACUCUUAAGGCAUGAACUUUUAACUACAGAAGAGAACCAAGUUUAACAUUCCCAACUGAACAUUCAGCAACUUGCCUUUCCAUACAGCAAAUGGAAAGCCAGUUUCAGUUACAAUGUUUUCUGAUUUUCUUCAAAUGUCAUAAAUUUGUAUGUGAGAAAUCAAUUAAUGUUCGUGAGAAAGAAUUAAAAAGGUGAGACAACAGCUGAUUGAGAAUGGUACCGAGGUUGCAAGUUGAAAGUAAAUCAUGUAUAGAUCAAGUAGUUGCAAAAUUAUCUUAGAGGUUUUUUCUUCUUUUUAUUCUUUCGGAUAAUGAAAACUCAUACUUGGAAAACUGGGGCAGCUUACACUUCACAUAAGCACAGUUGCAGAGAAUUUUUUUUUCUUUUUUUUUUGUCCUGUAAUUCCUGCUAUAGGCGAAUCUUCUUUGCCUUUAUUCGCUUGACAGCCAUGAAAGUCACAGCAGCUGAGAGAGAGUACCUGAUGAUGACAAAUAACCUAACUUGAUCAAUUUAAAAUACAGUGAAUGAUUUACAAGCGUACGAUUACAAUUGUACAUGCUAAAGUUUCAUGAUCAAUAUUUGGAACAAAAGACUUUUACGUAAUAGGAUGCUACUCAAGAAACUAGGACGAGAGUAAGAAAUUACCAUAACUAUAAAAUAUGCAUACCGGCACAUGGAACGAAAAAUGAAGUUCUAUCCUACCAUUCCUAGGUGAAACAAAGAUUAUCCUCAAUUUGUUUUCAAAACAUUGCUUGCACAGUUAUCCUAUUCAAAUAGCAUGGGGCUAGAUAAUAAAGGCAUUCCCCAUCGAUGAAACAGAUACCACGACCUCCACAUCCUUGAGGCAGUAUACAAAACCUUUGUGGACCUUACCCCACAGCCUGAGGACGGUUGUAUACAAAUCUAUUGGUCGCAUUAAAUUAGAGGGAGUCUGUUUCAAGUGGCAAUCAGCUAGAUGACACAACCAAUGUUACCAAUCUAUCCUUCUCAACCCAUUUGCUCCACAUCCUUAUGGCAGAGUCCAGAAGUCCCUCACACGGCCCAACUGCCACUGCACACAACUAACUGUCUGAUUUUAUUCGCAACAGUUUUUGCGACAUCAAUUAUUUUCCAGCUGACUUACGAUUCUUUUCCAAUAUCCAGUUUAAUCCAAGUUUAAUCCAAGGAUUUACUAGUAGUCAACCCAUUAUGCAGGGAUCAUGCCAGUGGGAAGGGAGAACUCCAGGGAAGUGAAGUGGAUCAAUAUUUUACCAUUAGGUAAGGUGCUAUGCAUGUCAUACUAUUGAGUAACUUUAGAUAACACAGAUUCACAGAAUUCUCCUAGAUAACACAGAUUCACAGGAUUCUCCUCUACGCUCACAUAACACAUAAAAGAAUAGAGGAAACAAAUAUGGCUCCUCUUACAUUCCUAACAGAGUUUUCUUGUAACAUGUCCUAAAGUCUUCAAAGGCCAAAGAUAACCAAUACAAUAACAACUCUAGAUCUUAGCUUCACAUUGUUCUGACAAAUGAAGAAACCUCCUUCAAAUGCAUACUAUUUCACUAUUGAGUUAUCCCUUGCUACAAUGACAAAGAAAGAAGUAUAUAUUUUAAUAGUGGGAUUUUUCCUGGUCACAAAGGCAUUUAAAGUGAUCAAAACAUCACUUAUACAUAUUUGCAUAUUCAAACCGAACUUACCACUUCUCACCUUGACAAGCCUUUACCUUUGCAAAAGACAAAAUUCCACAUGCGCUAUAGAUCCAAUAGUCAACAUGUUGAUAUUAAACAAGUUUUUCUGUCCACAAACUAAGUUGAUAACCAAAUUAUCCAGUUAGAACAAGAAUAAUCAGAAAUUAUACAUGAUUAUUUAAUAACAAAUCCCAUCUUUUAAAAGAUAUUGCAAAACAAGAUUAUCAAUCUAUCAAAGAUAAAAACACAUUUGUUACUACAGUACGGUCUCCCAGCUGGAAGACCACAUAAAGACCUUACCAAAAAAAACUACAAAACAGACAACAGCUUUAUCAUUCUAGUUGAACCGAUAGAGUAAGCUUCUCUAAAAAAUGCACUCUAUAUAGUUGACAAAGAAAAGAAUAAAGUCAUCAGAUAUGCUACAGUUAAGUUACAAAGAAAACUACACGGCUACCUGAUAAGGCAAAAUUGAGUUUUUAUAAAUUUAUCAAAUGUAUAAACUGAAAAAUGAGAUGCAUGACCAAGUGAAGUCAGAAACAAAUUCAUAAAACCAAUUAAGGGAACAACAUACCACGUUAGUGUAUAAUUGAGGUGGUCCUGUGGCAUGACUGAAUGACGAAUUAAGGUGUUCACGUCUUUUGGAACAGGAUAAGGAUUCGUGGCAUUGGCAUCCUCGUUAAUGUCUUCUAUAUAAACAGUAUUCUCUGGAAGACCACAGGUAGAUGCAAUCAUGGGAGCAUCAACAUAAAACCACUGGCCAGUACUGGGAUCAUUUGCUGGAACAAAUAUGCUUGGCUUUUCACUUCCUCGGAUAACGCCUAAAACUUUUACAGUAGGAGUAAUAGGCUCUUCAGCCUACAAGCCCAAAAAUGCCAUUUGACAAACAUAAGUAAAUUAAAGUAAGCUUUCGAGUGCUUGCAUUAAUUAAAAGGAAAGUCUAAACUCCUUAUAACACACUAAGCAACUGCAUCAAACAGAACAAAGAGUAUGAUUUGCUCUAAUAAGUCUGAAUAUAGGAAUAUACAGGCAAAAGAAAGUUGACAUCAUAAAAAAGAAAAGAUAAAACUAAGCAAUUUAGGAAAGGGUUUCUAGAUGUUAGACUGUUGCAUGACCACCCAAAUUUACUGAAAUCUCCAUAUGGCCAGAAAGGCAAGGAAGAAGAGUCAAUGAGAGGGAGAAGUUGGCAUGAAAAGUCACAGAUCUGGCAAUCAAUUAGUAUCCCGAAAUAAUUUCAAAAUAUAUAUUAUCAGUAUUUCUCAAAACUGGACUGCAAGGGAAGAUAGCACAAUACAACAAAACAUAAACAGAAAAAUGGAAGGAGCUACUUUUAUAUACUGCUCCACAAAAGGGACAAAUGCCAAGCAGGCAUGUCUUUUCCUACAAUGUAAUUUAAUUUAAAAACUAUUUUUGUAUUUUGCGCGUAACAAAGAAGAGUGUAAAAUUAACAGGGUUUAAUAGAUAAUCAAGAAAAGGAAUAGAAAGAAAAAAAAAAUCAACACAUGCAACUCCAUUUGCCUAUCCUCAAAUUCCUACACUCCUCUCUUAGAGUUUCUAAUCAAUUGAAUCACACCUUUGGCUAUGGUUUGAUUUGCUUCUAAACCUCCUAGAUGAUAUAUCAUUACUUAGCUUUUGACCAUGUUCUGCAAUUUUGCCUCUCCACAACUCCUCUCUUAAGCUCCGUCUCUAGAUAUAUUCAAGAUUUUCCAUCUAAAUAGAGUAUACAGGCACAAAAUGGCUUGUAACGUGUUUCAACUCAGUUUCAGAUAAUAUAGAGUAUCCAAACAUUUUGAUGCACAUAGAACUACCAGGGUAACUACAUCAGAUUACAAAGUUACCAGCAGUUUAAUAAAGACUGAAAAAAUAAAAAUAAAAACCCUACUAAAUGAAAGGUAAAUAACAAAUAAUCAAUUAUAACCUUCGAAACUGUAGGCUUCUUAGACCAAAAUCUCCACCAGGCACCUUCCCCAUUUGGCGUGAUGUCAGCUUCUUUUGAUUCUAAAGCUUUCUCAAGAUUCUCUGAAUCUUUUAUAUUCUUGUCACGCCAGCCUCUAGGAACCCAUCCUCUGUUAACAAGGACGGGUGUCUGCAAACUGACAAAAUAUUAAGUAAAAGAUUAUACUGGAAAAAGGAAAUAGGUUAGGCCAUGAAAUAACUCAUUGACGAAAGACAAAAAGUCGUACUUAAUACAUGCGAUAAGUGGAAUGAUCUAGUAGUAGUACCCUGUUUGCGGUGUUUGAUCUACCUAAUAUAAUUUAUUGAUGUUUAGAAUCAAGUUUAAUUCAGAAGGGACAGAACACAGUAAUCGCAUUAACCACUUUAAGAAGGCAGUGCUUAGAGCCUGUUUGGUCCGACCAGACAUUCUAGAGAAGUUUGCCUGAGACAUCAGUAAAGCCACUCAAAGCCACAAGCUUAUUCAUUACAAACUCUCCAAUGGCAGUGUGCAGCAGCAGAAGCAGAAACUUCUGUUUCAGGGUCCAAAUAGAAUAAAGGCUAACCUUUAGAUCCAUCACAUGUAACAACUCUGAUCCAUCUCAGGAAACACUUACUUGAUGAAAGAAAAUGUUGGCUUCUUGGGAACCAAUUAAGGUAUAUACAACCUUGCUAUGUUAUUCCAGGUUAUGAGCACAAACUAAGGUUAUAUACAGCUUUCCUAUGUAUUGCUGCAUAUAGUUACAAACUUUACAGAAAAAUCGCAUCAAGGAUGGGUUGCUGCACAAAUCCUCGAUAGGUUGGUAACCUUCCUAAACCAUUUAUACUCAUCCCUCUUCCAUGUUUCUAAAUGCCUGAGUACAGAGUUUUUUGCCAUAAUCGUAACAGAAGGAUUUUGCUUUCAUUGAGCUUUUCCAAUAUGCUAUUCUUACGACCCAUUAGAAAACUGGGGGCAAAAAACCACAAGUAGAGCACAGUUUGUGCAGGGUUACAAUGUUGGAAGUUAAGACAUUCCCUUUGUAACAUAUGAUGGAUUAAAAAGUAGCCAUGUAUUGCUUUUCUUUUCCCCAAUAUUUGGUUAUGCAAAUUAAUUAACAUCAAAUCAACUAAUAGAUUUUAUAGUCAAGCGAUCCAGUGACUACAAGUUCACCACAAUGUAGGGUACUGAACGAUUCCUAUUGAAUAUAACGUGAAUAAUUCCACCAAGUAAUGCAAUUCUAACGACUUAAUUCUACAAUUAUUUAUAAACCAUGCAAUUCAAUGGUUAGAUUUCUUUCUUAUCUUGUGAAUCAUGCCUGUGCAAACCUAACAAUUAAAUAAAGCCAUUGUUUGCAUCCUAGACGCUGGUAAAAUUUAGCCGUAAGUAUAACAACACACUUCAACAACAUAAGCAGCUAUAUCCUUUCAUAAUGCCUCCAAGACAACUUGCUAAAUGAAUAAAAAGGCGAACAAUUACAAAAAUUAGAAAGAAGUUUCAACAACAUCCAUUCAUCCAGAAGCAAAGGAUAUCAAUUUUCCAUCCCAUAAGUUACCUGCCAUGCCCAGUUGCUCUCGGAACCAAUGGAGUAAUGACAUAAUACCCAUUCUCUGUCACUCCCGAAAUGCUCCGAGAACGCGGCCCGACAUAUAUCGACUUGCUCUCGUCGAAAUAACCCUCGCAAACAACCCUCCUGAACUCCAAGGAAGCCAAAUCCUCGCCUGUCGAAGGCCCCUCAUUCCACAUUAUGGGUUCCAUCUCCAAUCUCUUCUUCCUGUAAUCCAACAUCUCCAUCUGGAGAACAAAACCCAGCAAACCUAAUCCCGAUUAGAGCAAAGAUCCCGUCUCAACACUGUAUGAGGCAUUUCAUCAAACAGGUUACCUUCUCCUGCCUCCUGAAGAGUUGCCACGUCCCAAGGCCAAAAGUGAUGGCGCCGGGGAGGAAAAGAAACAGUUUCGACCAUAUUCCCCUUUCUUUCUCUGUGAUCCACACCCACACCCACCCACCCACCCACACACACACGUGAGAGACUAGGGCACCGAAAUGGUCCAAGUAGAAGAGAUAAACGGAUAGAGAAGCGAACCUUGCGACGGAGAUGGAGAUGCCGCAGUGGCGGAGGAGGAGGCNUGGUGGCGGAGGAGGAGGAGGAGGAGGAGGAGGAGGAGGAGGAGGAGGUGAUGGUGAUGGGAGAGAAGUGGAGAAGGGGGAAAAAGAGGGGAAGAGAGGGGAGCGGCGAGGAAUGGGGGGGAGGAGUUUGUGGGGUUUUAGGGUUUUGGAGAGCAGGAAGAAGAAGGCCAUUGGGACGCUUCUUUAAGCUGAGGCAUGCUCUAUGUAUCCUCUUGAGCUCUCCGUGCUCCCAUGGCGUUUGACCCUUUUAACACUUUAAACUCCCCCUUUUUUUUAAGAGGCUAAAAUACAUAAAAUCUCAUUAAAUACCCUUUUUUUUUUCUUUUUUUUUUUUUUACUUUCAAAAAAUUAUAUUUAAUUUUUAAACUUUCAGAAGAUUGUCUAUUAAUAAAAAGGACAAUCAAAUUAUUUUUACUUAUUUUAUAAAAAAAAUUAUAAUAUAUUACUGUUAUUUUUAAAAUAUUUUUUAUAUAAAUUAUAAAAAAAUCGACAAAAUAGUGGCAGAACUUUAACGAAAGUGGGCUAAUUACUUCAAUCUUAAAAUUUUGAGAAAAUAAUAUAUAAUAUUUUUUAAAAUUAAAAAAUAAAUAUUUACAGUAGAAUUUUCUAUAUUUUAGCAUUUUUCCUAAGUGGAUUUUUAGAAAAAUGUAUAUGUAUAUAUUCAUGCAGUGCAAAUACAAUCGUAUAGUUUUUUCAUAUACAUUUUUUUUUUUUUGUUGGCAAUUUUGUAGCUUUAUUAACACUCCUUUUGGAACAGGUUUGGGAUAAGAUAAAUGGAUUUGCUAUUAAAAUCAUCAAAAUAAAUUUUGUUUAAAAGCAAGAUGUAAAUUAAAAUUUUAGCUUUGAAACUAUGUGCUUUUUCAUAUGGUAGAAAUAAAGGAUUUAAGUAUCUAUCGGUACGGACUGUAUUUAUUGUGCUUUAUUGUGUCAAUAAGAUAUCCGUACGAUACAUCCCACUUGCCGAUGGCAUAUCUCAAAACCUUCUUUUUUUUUAUAUUAGUUAUCAAUUUGUUGAAUGGAGUUUAAAAGAUUUGAUAAAAAUACAUAAUAAGCAAUUAAAAAAUUUCGUUGCUGAAGACAAUAAAUAUUUCAUAUCAUCAUUUAUCAAUACAAAUGUAUUUUUUGUGAUUGACACGCAACGGUAUGACCCGGCACGUACCGCACUGACAAGUUUUCGACACAACCUUAUACCAUGACACUUAAAUUUUUGGUAGAAAUUUUAUAUUUUGCUGCUUUUAUAUCAGACACCCGUUUAUUCAGGUUUAAACAAAUUCUAAAAACUUAAUUUUAGUAAGCAUCGACCAAUUUUUCAUUAAAUUUUCC
rnacentral:lncRNA from 1 species